AGACAAAGAUUCAAUUUUUUUCUUCAAAAUUUCCACGUGGUAUAAAUUACAUUAUCCUAUAUAUUUUUGUAAUUUAAUAAUAAUUUUACAUCACAUGUAAUUCACACACUUAGUAAUUCAAUAAAUAGAGGGAAAUAUAUUUAAAUUCUUAAAAAGUAUAUUAUUGCAUAAAAAUUAUGUGUUAGCUACGGAUCACCUUAUACUUUACAAGAGAGGAGAGAGUUUACUAUAAUCUCACAUAUAUGUUUGUUGGUAACUUCGUUAUAUAUUGUUCCUAUGCACAUGAUAAUGUAAUUUCCUAUGUGUUAUGUCAAUUUCCCUGUGUGUUUUAGCUAACACACAAGGAAAUGACUCAUUUAAUCAUUUCCCUGUGAGUCAUAUGAAUUUCCUUGUGUGUUUUAUCUAACCCACAGGGAAAUGAGGAAUUUCUCUGUGCGUCAAGUCAAUUUCCCUGUGUGUUUUACCUAACCCACAAGAAAAUGAGGAAUUUCCCUGUGGGUUUUGGUAUUUGCCUGUGUGUUCUUUUGGAAUCGACAAGGAAAUGUGAAUUUCUCUGUGUGUGCAGAAAAAACCCUCAGGUCCCGUUUGGGUCCAAGGAAUUGGAAUCUAUUUAAUGGAGUAGGCUAAUUUAUGUUGGAAUGUGGCAUUCCACAACUUUCCAAAGUUUAGAUAUAAGCCUAUCUUAAAUUCAUGGGGUGGGAGAUGGAAAUUGAUUCUAUAGAUUAUGGUUAUUAGAUGGAAUUCAAUUCUUAUAGCACGCUCUUAGACUCGCUUCUCUAUAGUAGAAGUGCAGCAUACAAGUAUCUCUCCCAUAUCACCAACUAUAAUAUACAACUAUAUUCCACAUAUAAUUAUAUUAGCUUAAUUAAUUUGUGUCUAAAUUAUGAUUAUUAGGAUGGAAUUCAAUUCCAAUGAUCCAAACGGGGCCUCAGGGAAAUUCGGCACACACAAGGAAAUUAAUUCAGGUUUCCAGUACUGUAAUAACCCUGUAUUUUUACAUCAACACGACAUACAUAGAUUUGAAUAAUUAAGUUUACACCUUUAUUACAGACGACGCUGCACUGCUACUAGCAGCUAGGCACUGUGGAGAUGUAGCUAGAGUAGAGAACAUGCAAGGUGGCCGGCAUGAGCCGAUGAACGACGAUGAUACAUUACGUAGACAUGCAUUAUGCGCCCCCUUACGCUGCGACGAUGGACCCCUGACGCUAUGUCAGUGAUGAAUGAUCACUGACGUGUGUUAUUAGCAACCACAUCACGUCGUGCGAUAACGUUAAUAACGUCAGAGGAACCACUUCAUCCCUUACGCCGACGAGAGGCCAGCAUAUUUCUUGGCCCACAAGAUGUGCCCGUACGGCAGGACGUGGCACACCGGCGGGCCGCCGGGCUUGGUGUCGAGGAACCUGAAGGCGACGUGAUCCUUGUCCCACUCCGACGUGUCGGUGUGGCAGACGGAGAACAAGGUGACCUUGUCACCACCGGCGCCCUCCAUCUCCACCUUGUACGCCCGGGCUGGGCCGGUGCUGUGGCACAUGUACACGGUGUACGGGUACUCCUUCUGGUGGCACCCCACGAAGCUGGAGCCCCGGACGGGUUGCACGGCACGGAUGGUGUACGGCUGCAGCGGCGACCCGGCGCGGGGCACCCUGGAGAUCAUCUCGGUGAUGCUCCUGGUGCCGAGCACCCCCUGGGCACCCUCGACCAGGGCCUCCAGUGAGGUGGUGCAGAACUUGGCCUCCCACUCGAGGCCCGGGUCCUCGCACAUGCCCAGCGUCUCCUCCAUCUUGGCUGCCUGGGCGGAGCCCUCGGCGACGUUGAACUGGGCGAGGACACCCGGGAGGGCGGAGGAGGAGAAGGGGAUGGCGUCGGCGAUGUGGCGGGGGAGGAAGCCGAGCGGGGCGGUCACCGCCGCGGGGAACCGGAAGGGCAGGCUCUGGCGGACGCGCAGGGCCUCCUCGCGGAAGAAGACGGCCAUCUUGGUGUCGGCGAGCUCCUCGGUGGCGCGUGCAGCGACGGAGGAAGCUGGAAGGCUGUACUUGUAGUAGAAAGCAUGGCUCUGCUGUCCAACCUGAAACAACGUGACGUACAGAGAUAUUGAGUUUGCCCGUGCUUGUUCGUACACAGAAAGUCAGAAAAGAUGCGUGCAGCAGGUGUGUGUUAGUGGAUGCUUACCGCGAACAGGACGAGGAGAGCAGUGAGCAUCGGUACGCGCGCCAUUGGAGCUAAUGGCCAGAAGAAGGAAGAAUCCCGUUCCUGUGUUGGAAUGAGGAGGCGUACAGGAAGAGGGUCGUAUUUAUAGGAGUCGCCGAUGAAAGUUAAACUGGAGUCAUCAUCUCUUCCUUCUGUGUGUAUGAUGUUGAGAUAUCUUUGAAGUCUGAUUGGCCGUUGUCAUCAUGUAUCCUUGGUGGCCUUGAUGGGCAAUGUUUGAUUGGUGCAAUAUUUUUCUAGCAUAUUUUGUACAGAUUUGUCAAGUCGGUGGGCUGUCGUUCUCGACUUCUCGUUAGUAUAGCUGUCCAUGUGUUGCACGAGAUUGUGAAAUGUCGAGACCGCUUGAUAGUCAUAUAUCAAACUUAUCAUCAGCUACUAGUAUUACGUACAAUUAUUGCAUACUACGUGGUAGGAAGAAAGUUAGUAAAAAGAAUGUCAAUGCCCCCAGCCAUAAGCACUACUCCAGAGGUUCAUCACUGCCGGCUCCAAACCAGUCUUCACCGUCGGUUUGGAUCCAUCGUCUGACUUUCGGUAGUGAUGGGGAUACCCCAUCACCGCUGGUUUUGGAACUGGCGGUGAAGGCCUAUUAAAAAAACAAAAAAAUGGUGCUGUCGGCCGCCUUACGCCCCGGCCUUGCGCUGCCUCGCCGGAUCCGACCGGCCGCAUCUCGCUGGAUCUGGCCGCUGCCGCCCCACCAGCCGCCAACUGCCUUGGUCCUACUGGAUCCGGCUCAUAGAGAGAGAGAGAGGCGUACGGGGAGAGGAAGCUGAGGCCGCCCACCUACACCACCGCAACCAGCUCCUUCUUCGUCGGAUCCGUGCUAGCUCCUUCUUCACUGGAACCUGCACCGCCACCACCGGAUCUAUGUGUGUCCUCACAUGAACUCCGACUAGGGACAACUUUAGAAUAACCAUACAAGUAAAGAGUUUCACAUACAAUUCACAUAAUUGCAAAUCAAUUCAAGUAGCCUUCAAUGGAUAUUCAAUGAACACAAUCAUGGAUACAAAUGGAAUAUCAUCAUAUCUAUGAUUGCCUCUAGGGCAUACCUCCAACAGUCUCCCACUUGCACUAGAGUCAAUCUAGAAGGUACCUAAUACCCAUCACUCUUACAUGCGCAUCAUGCUUAGCCUGCGGGAGUGGUUUUGUCAACGGAUCAGAAAUGUUCAGAUCCGUGUGUAUUUUGCAUAUCUUGAUCUCACCCCGGUUAACGAAGUCUCAAAUGAGAUGAAAUCGCCGCAUUACGUGUUUGUUCUUCUGGUGGUUCCUUGGCUCCUUUGCUUGCGCAAUUGCCCCAUUGUUAUCACAGUAGAGAUUCAAUGGGCUGGACGCAUUCGGGAAUACACCAAGCUCAAUAAGGAAAUUCCUUAUCCAAACACCCUCCUUCGCGGCUUCCGAAGCCGCGAUGUACUCGGCUUCUGUCGUAGAAUCGGCCACCGUCUCCUGCUUGGAACUCUUCCAACUAACAGCACCACCAUUCAGCGUGAACACAAAUCCUGAUUGUGACUUUGAAUCAUCUCUGUCGGUUUGGAAACUAGCAUCGGUGUAACCUGUUACAACGAGCUCCUCCUCACCUCCAUAGACGAGGAACAUGUUUUUAGUCCUUCUCAAGUACUUAAGAAUAUUUUUCACCGCUGUCCAGUGACUCUCACCUGGAUCAGAUUGGUGUCUGCUUGUCAUACUUAGCGCAUAUGAAACAUCUGGGCGAGUACUUAUCAUUGCAUACAUGAUAGAUCCAAUAGCCGAUGCAUAUGGCACUCUACUCAUGCGAUCCCGCUCAUCAGCAGUCGAAGGACACUGAGUCUUGCUGAGAUGUAUGCUAUGUGACAUAGGCAAGAACCCUUUCUUUGCCUCUUCCAUGCUGAACCGCUUCAACACUUUGUCAAUGUAAGUAUCUUGGCUUAAACCUAUAAGCCUUCUCGAUCUAUCUCUAUAGAUCUUAAUGCCCAGAAUAUAUGCCGCUUCCCCUAAGUCCUUCAUCGAAAAACUAUUUUUCAGUGAAGUCUUUACGGACUCAAGCAUAGGAAUGUUAUUUCCAAUCAGUAAUAUGUCAUCCACAUAUAAGAUUAGAAAUACUACAGAGCUCCCACUAACCUUCUUGUAAACACAAGACUCUUCUUCAUUCUUGGUGAAGUCAAACCCUUUGACCACUUCAUCAAAACGAAUGUUCCAACUCCUAGAUGCUUGCUUCAAUCCAUAAAUGGAUCUGUGAAGCUUGCAUACCUUUCCAGCAUUUUUCGGAUCGACAAAACCCUCGGGCUGUAUCAUAUACACGUCCUCAGCUAGGUUUCCAUUCAGGAAAGCUGUUUUGACAUCCAUCUGCCAUAUCUCAUAAUCGAAAUAUGCAGCUAUAGCUAGAAUAAUCUGAAUGGACUUAAGCAUCACUACGGGCGAGAAGGUCUCAUCGUAGUCAACUCCUUGAACUUGUCGAAAACCUUUUUCGACAAGUCGUGCUUUAUAGAUGUGAACAUUUCCAUCCAUGUCCUUUUUCUUCUUAUAGAUCCACUUGCACUCUAUGGCUUUAACACCAUCAGGCGGGUCAACCAAGUUCCAAACUUGAUUGUGUCCCAUGGACUCUAUUUCGGAUUGCAUGGCAUUCUGCCAUUUUUCGGAGUCUUGGUCCAUCAUUGCUUUUGCAUAUGUCGCAGGCUCAUCAUUGUCCAACAAUAAUAUUUCCCGCAUUUCGCGGAGCCUUGCCGACCUUCGUGGUUGUGGUGGUGCUUCUCUUGCCAUGGGUAUCUCAACUUGUUCUGCUACGUUAGCAUCACUCAUUGAUUCUUGCCCGAUCGGCUCAUCUUGAACUUCUUCAAGAUGCACUGUCUUUCCACUCUUUUCUCCUUUGAGAAACUCUUUCUCUAGGAAAACCCCGUUCCGAGCGACAAACACUUUGCCUUCUGAUCGGUUGUAGAAAUAAUAUCCCAAAGUUUCCUUUGGAUAUCCCACGAAAAUGCACUUAUCCGACUUGGGUGUGAUCUUGUCCGACUGAAGUCGCUUGACAAACACUUCACAUCCCCAAAUCUUUAGAAAAGACAAACUAGGAACCUUUCCAGUCCAUAUCUCAUAUGGUGUCUUAACUACGGAUUUAGAUGGUACCCUAUUAAGUGUGAAAGCUGCUGUUUCUAGAGCGUAUCCCCAAAAUGACAACGGUAGGUCCAACUGGCUCAUCAUUGAUCGAACCAUGUCUAACAAAGUUCGAUUACGUCGCUCGGACACACCGUUUCUCUGAGGUGUUCCAGGCGGCGUAAGUUGUGGAACAAUUCCGCAACUCUUUAGAUGAUUGCUAAACUCGUGGCUCAAAUACUCGCCUCCACGAUCAGAUCGUAAGGCCUUAAUUUUCUUGCCACGCUGAUUUUCAACUUCAUUCUGAAAUUUCUUGAACUUUUCAAAGGUUUCAGACUUGUGCCUCAUCAAGUAGACAUAGCCAUAUCUACUAAAAUCAUCAGUGAAAGUUAUGAAGUAUUGGAAUCCUCCUCUAGCCAUCGUGCUCAUUGUUCCGCAUACAUCAUUAUGUACGAGUUCCAACAAGUCUACUGCUCUCUCAGGAAAUCCUGUGAAAGGCGUCUUGGUCAUCUUGCCUAGCAAGCAAGCCUCACAUGUCUCGUAUGAUUCAAAAUCAAACGAAGUUAGAAGUCCAUCAGAAUGGAGCUUCUUCAUGCGCUUUUCACUUAUAUGACCCAAACGACAAUGCCACAAGUAGGUAGGACUCAAAUCAUUAGGCCGAGGCCUUUUAACACUUAUAUUACAGACAGGUGAACCAUCAAGAUUUAAAACAAAUAAUCCAUUCACAAUGGGUGCAAAAGCCAUAAACAUAUUAUUCUUAGAGAUCACACAACCAUUAUUUUCACUCGCAAAUGAAUAACCAUCCUUCAUCAAACAUGAAGGUGUUUCGACUUAAACUAGGAACAAAAUAACAAUUAUUCAACUCUAUAAUAAAUCCUGACGGGAGGUGGAGUUGCAUCGUCCCGAUGGUCAACGCAGCAACUCUUGCAUUAUUGCCCACGCGGAAAUCAACUUCUCCUCUUUCCACGCUUCUACUUCUUAUCAUUCCCUGCAUCGAAUUGCAAAUAUGAGCAACCGAUCCGGUAUCAAAUACCCAAGAAUUAAUAAUUCUAUCAGCGAGAAAUAUGUUGUCUAUAACAUUAACAACAAGCGUACCUGAGGUAGAAGUACUCUUACUUCCGCCAUUCUUCAACGAAGCUAGGUACUGCUUGUAGUUUCUCUUCCAGUGACCAAGUUCAUGACAGUAAAAGCACUCUUUGUCUGGAGCAGGUCCAGGUCCAGCUUUAACCUUGGGCGGUGGGUUUGGCUUGGACGUUCCAGCCUUGCCCUUCUUCUUCCAAGGAUUGCCCUUCUUCUUAAAGCUAGGCUUGUUCUGUAUAGCCAUCACAUGGCUAGUACUAGCGCUUUUCUUGAUGUCUACCUCUGCUGUCUUGAGCAUACCACACAGUUCAUUCAAACCCUUCUCUGUCCCAUGCAUAUGGUAGUUCGAGAUGAAGUUCCCAUAGCUAGGCGGAAGAGAUGAAAGAAUGAAGUCAGUGGCCAACUCUUUGCCCAUUGGGAAGGCCAGCUUCUCCAAUCGCCGAGUGUAACCAACCAUCUUGAUUACAUGUGGUCCUACUGCUGCGCCUUCUGCUAACUUGCACUCCAGAAACGCUUUGGACACAUUGAACCUUUCGGUCCUAGCCUGUGUCUGGAACAUGUCCUUGAGCGCCACGAUCAUAUCGUGUGCCUCAUGAUUUGUUUCGAACUGCAUCUGCAGCUCGGGUUCCAUGCAAGCAAGCAUAAGGCAGCUUACCUCAAGAUUAGCAUCAAAUGCCUUCUUGUAAGCAGCCUUAACGGCAGCAGAUGCAUCAUCAGCAGGUACUGGUGGUAGUGGGGUGUCUAGAACAUCUUCCUUUUUAUCGGCCCUGAGAACAAUUCUCAGGUUACGGAUCCAAUCCGAGUAGUUUGUUCCAUUCAACUUGUCCUUCUCAAGGACCGAACGCAAAGCAAACGAUGUGGUGGUGUUGCUAGGUGCCAUUUAAUCUACAACAAAAGUAAUGCAAAAUACACUAAGACAAACGUAUCCAUGAUAGAGCAAAUUACAUUAAACUAUUUUAACAGAAUCUACUCCCACUAAAAUCAAUAUCCCUCUAUUGAAACUUAGUGAUUCAGGAUCCACAACUAACAAGUCUACUAGUGAGCUUUAGCAUCACCGCUAGCAAACGAGGUAGAUCGGUAAGCAACUUUUGCUAAUCAUAUCACAUAUGACUCCUGUUGUUGGGUGACAUCUCUAUGUCUCGGCACCCAACCUUUAUGCCCCAAGGUCCUUAACUGUUAAGAUAACCUUGUUAAGCAAACCAACCCUUAUGCGUGUAAGUGUCCGACACAAACCCGUCUAGUCAAGGAAAACUAGUGGUACCCUAAUUUCAUAGACCCACCACUAAUUGUACAAGACAUGGAACGGUGCAAGUUUUAGUUGGGAGGGCAUACUAACUUAAACUUUGUGAGGAAUCGUUCUACUUCUAACAUCAUAGCAUGCAGAAAGUAAAACAUAAACAGAAUAGCAUUCACACAAUUGUGACACAGUAUGGCCCGUUUUUCUUAUGGUGAUCUCCAUCUCCAUAGAACCUGUUCACCAUGGUGAUCUCCAUCUCCAUGUUCCAUGUGCGCCAUCCUCCUGGUGAUGAGUCCUCCAAGAACUAGAACAUGCUAUUACGCCUAAUAGCUAGUAAAGAAUCUAGUAAUGAAGAUUACAUAGUUGCUUGGAUCAUCACAGAUUGGUACGCAGACCAUUAAAUACAAUAAAGUGACAACACAUAUGGCUCCUGCCGUGUUGCCGUACGCGCGACACGCAGGUCACGAAUGAGUUACACACAUGCAUCACAUACACAAGGGGGCCAUACUGAUCACAAGAUACAUACAACCAUCCUGCAAAACAGAGUUAGGCAUCCUAACGUUCCAAACUUCGGAGGCCCGAAACUCCAUCUUCCAAGCCGAAUUUGGAAAACCUAAUUUCGCCGAAAACGGCGAAGCGGUUGAAUUUCAUGUGUAACUUUUUCUGUAGAUCAAUUUUCAUAUAAAAUUCGCCCCGAUCCGAGAUCGUACCGAAAAGUUAUGGCUGAUUUACCGAAGCAUACGCAUACGGCAAAAAUCCCGACCCCGGCAGUAGAUCCCAUCUACUAUUGCACAUCUAAUGCGCCUGGCGUAUGACCCUGGAUUUCGAUUCGACCAAUCAUAUUGAUCUUCGCUCACUGCAACUGGAUUUACGUGUAUCACUUAACUCCGAUGGCGGAAACCGACCGGUAGGAGUAUGUCGUUACACUACCAUUACAGCAAGGGCAUGAAACCAGGACAUAGAUCAAACGGAAAACUCGCAUAUCUCCAUAUGCACACAUCCCGAAUCCAAAACUAAGCAGCUACGGCUCUGAUACCACUGUUGGGAUACGAGGUAGGCUACACUAGCGCAAAUCAAAAUUUCUACCGCGUAUAACCAGGAAGAACUGCCGUAUAAGGAUCACGGGAUUACCACUCGACGCACUACUGGUGCGGAAGAUGUAGAUAUGCGUCGAUGCAGUGAAGACGAUCACGUAGUCGUACGUAGUCGAUCAACAUAGUCGUACGUAGUCGAUCACGUCCAGUAGCUCCUCAGCAGCUCGUCCACGUGCAGCAAGAUCGCAUCCGGUGCCGCGGGUCGUCGUCGGCUCGUCGCGGCUCGUCGUGGCUCGUCGGCGGCUCGUCCAAGUGCUGCAGGCGCAACACCUCCAAGGUAUCCACACGUGCAGGGAGGAAGCGUCGCAAGCCGGACUGCUAGAUCCGUGAGUUGCAACAGGUGAGGGCGUGGGAGGCGCGGCAGGUGUGUUUCGCCAAAAGGUAUAAACCCUAGGGCGCCCCCACCCCUCUAUUUAUAGAGGUUCCUGACGGGCCUCUAGGUCCGAGGCCCAUUAGUAAUUCUAAACCUAAUUCAACUCGGAUCAGAUCCGAAUUGGGCUUCCAGCCCCUUAAGUGUGUGACCAUAUGGGUUCGGAUACGUAUAGACAUGGCCCGAGUACUCCUACUCGGCCCAAUAGUCGGUAGCGGCCUCUAGCAAGACGUGCCAACUCCUAUACGCACACGAAGAUCAUAUCAGACGAACCAUCACAACAUAAUAUACAUGCUAUUCCCUUUGCCUCACGAUAUUUGGUCUAGCUUCAAGCCGACCGCUCUUUCUCGAUCCUGUGAUUCGGAAUCCCUUUGUAGGUUAACUCUUAACCGUACGUAGCAUGGCCAUGCAUUUUUGGAUCCGAUCACUCGAGGGGCCCAGAGAUAUCACUCUCAAUCAGAGAGGGGCAAAUCCCAUCUUGAUUGACCAUGUCUCAUAGCAUGCUUCUUGACAAGGAAAUGUGAAUUUCUCUGUGUGUGCAGAAAAAACCCUCAGGGAAAUUCGGCACACACAAGGAAAUUAAUUCGGGUUUCCAGUAGUGUAAUAACCCUGUAUUUUUACAUCAACACGACAUACAUAGAUUUGAAUAAUUAAGUUUACACCUUUAUUACAGACGACGCUGCACUGCUACUAGCAGCUAGGCACUGUGGAGAUGUAGCUAGAGUAGAGAACAUGCAAGGUGGCCGGCAUGAGCCGAUGAACGACGAUGAUACAUUACGUAGACAUGCAUUAUGCGCCCCCUUACGCUGCGACGAUGGACCCCUGACGCUAUGUCAGUGAUGAAUGAUCACUGACGUGUGUUAUUAGCAACCACAUCACGUCGUGCGAUAACGUUAAUAACGUCAGAGGAACCACUUCAUCCCUUACGCCGACGAGAGGCCAGCAUAUUUCUUGGCCCACAAGAUGUGCCCGUACGGCAGGACGUGGCACACCGGCGGGCCGCCGGGCUUGGUGUCGAGGAACCUGAAGGCGACGUGAUCCUUGUCCCACUCCGACGUGUCGGUGUGGCAGACGGAGAACAAGGUGACCUUGUCACCACCGGCGCCCUCCAUCUCCACCUUGUACGCCCGGGCUGGGCCGGUGCUGUGGCACAUGUACACGGUGUACGGGUACUCCUUCUGGUGGCACCCCACGAAGCUGGAGCCCCGGACGGGUUGCACGGCACGGAUGGUGUACGGCUGCAGCGGCGACCCGGCGCGGGGCACCCUGGAGAUCAUCUCGGUGAUGCUCCUGGUGCCGAGCACCCCCUGGGCACCCUCGACCAGGGCCUCCAGUGAGGUGGCGCAGAACUUGGCCUCCCACUCGAGGCCCGGGUCCUCGCACAUGCCCAGCGUCUCCUCCAUCUUGGCUGCCUGGGCGGAGCCCUCGGCGACGUUGAACUGGGCGAGGACACCCGGGAGGGCGGAGGAGGAGAAGGGGAUGGCGUCGGCGAUGUGGCGGGGGAGGAAGCCGAGCGGGGCGGUCACCGCCGCGGGGAACCGGAAGGGCAGGCUCUGGCGGACGCGCAGGGCCUCCUCGCGGAAGAAGACGGCCAUCUUGGUGUCGGCGAGCUCCUCGGUGGCGCGUGCAGCGACGGAGGAAGCUGGAAGGCUGUACUUGUAGUAGAAAGCAUGGCUCUGCUGUCCAACCUGAAACAACGUGACGUACAGAGAUAUUGAGUUUGCCCGUGCUUGUUCGUACACAGAAAGUCAGAAAAGAUGCGUGCAGCAGGUGUGUGUUAGUGGAUGCUUACCGCGAACAGGACGAGGAGAGCAGUGAGCAUCGGUACGCGCGCCAUUGGAGCUAAUGGCCAGAAGAAGGAAGAAUCCCGUUCCUGUGUUGGAAUGAGGAGGCGUACAGGAAGAGGGUCGUAUUUAUAGGAGUCGUCGAUGAAAGUUAAACGGAGUCAUCAUCUCUUCCUUCUGUGUGUAUGAUGUUGAGAUAUCUUUGAAGUCUGAUUGGCCGUUGUCAUCAUGUAUCCUUGGUGGCCUUGAUGGGCAAUGUUUGAUUGGUGCAAUAUUUUUCUAGCAUAUUUUGUACAGAUUUGUCAAGUCGGUGGGCUGUCGUUCUCGACUUCUCGUUAGUAUAGCUGUCCAUGUGUUGCACGAGAUUGUGAAAUGUCGAGACCGCUUGAUAGUCUUAUAUCAAACUUAUCAUCAGCUACUAGUAUUACGUACAAUUAUUGCAUACUACGUGGUAGGAAGAAAGUUAGUAAAAAGAAUGUCAAUGCCCCCAGCCAUAAGCACUACUCCAGAGGUUCAUCACUGCCGGCUCCAAACCAGUCUUCACCGUCGGUUUGGAUCCAUCGUCUGACUUUCGGUAGUGAUGGGGAUACCCCAUCACCGCUGGUUUUGGAACUGGCGGUGAAGGCCUAUUAAAAAACAAAAAAAUGGUGCUGCCGGCCGCCUUACGCCCCGGCCUUGCGCUGCCUCGCCGGAUCCGACCGGCCGCAUCUCGCUGGAUCUGGCCGUUGCCACCCCACCAGCCGCCAACUGCCUUGGUCCUACCGGAUCCGGCUCAUAGAGAGAGAGAGAGGCGUACGGGGAGAGGAAGCUGAGGCCGCCCACCUACGCCACCGCAACCAGCUCCUUCUUCGUCGGAUCCGUGCUAGCUCCUUCUUCACUGGAACCUGCACCGCCACCACCGGAUCUAUGUGUUGCCGCUGCUCUCACCCUGCCGCCGCUCCUCACUGCCACGAGUGAGGGGUGAGCGAAGGGGGGAGAGGAGGGGCAGCCGAGGGUGAGGAGAGGGAGAUCACGCAGGACGAUGGUUGUCGGCGGAGAGAGGGAGGGGGCGACAGUGGGAGAGGAAGGGGUCGGGAGGAGCUGAGAGGGAGGAGAGGGCGGCGAGAGAAGAGGGAGGAGAGGGUGGCGGGAGGGCACUAAAGGGCCUAAUUAGUGCCGGUUGGUCUCCCCAACCGGUACUGAUUUGUUUUUUCCUUUCUUUUCUUAUUUUCUUUUUCUUUAUUCUAUAUUCGUACGUAUACUACUUCUAAUACGCUAAUAUAUAUAAAGUUCUAUUUAUCUUCAAUAUUACAUUUAAGAUACUAUUAUAUAUAUACAUAUUAUGCAUACACAUAUAUGAAUAAUAUUAUACAUAUAUAUAGACAUAUUGUGCGUACACAUAUCAUAUCUACUAUUCUAAACCUGAGUCCUGACGGUGCUGUAGAUUUGAUGCAUCAUUAUGAAACUCCCCCGCUGGAUUUAUGACCUCGUCUAGAAGAAAUCCACUUGAAGAUUCUAUCUUUCCUGUACAUCAUCUGUGUCAUUAGCAAAGUUUAUUACAUAUAUAGUAGAUCAAUGGGUUUGCACAAUUGACUUACUUCAAAUAUAAGCAAUUAAAUUGAAAUACUUAAUCUAAUUUUUCUAAGUAUAUACACAAGAAUUGAUUUUUGAAGUAUAAGCAAAUAAAUUGAAAUACUUAAUCUAAUUUUUCUAAGUAUAUGCACAAGAAUUUAUUUUUGAAAUAUAAGCAAAUAAAUUGAAAUACUUAAUCUAAUUUUUCCAAGUAUAUACACAUAAAUUGGUUUUUGAAGUAUAAGCAUAUGAAUUGAUUUUAAAGUAUAUACACAUGAAUUAAUUUUCUAAGUAGAACUAAUUUAUUGUUGAGAAUUUUGUAUACGUACGGUUAAUUCGUGGUCGGUCAUACGGUUCGGACGUAUAAAGCUGUGGAUGAACUCACAUGCGUAGUAUCCAUAUAAAUUAGUACCCGGCUCCUGUCUCGAAUACUAUAUAUAUUGGAAAAAAAGUUAUGAAAUAUUUGUUGUGUUAAAUAAAGUGUCACGAGAUGUGAAAAUUCAACACAUACUGGGAAUUCACUCUUCCAUUCAAGUUCCUUCUUGAAUUCACCCACGUGAGUUCGAUGGAAUCGAGCCCAUGCUUUGUUCAUAGCGUCUAUGAUGUCAGUGUAUUCUUGUUUUUUUUUCCCUCAAAGAGUCGAAGACAUAUACGACGCUCAUAUCAGGCACAACAACAAUGAGUAUCCAAUGAAAUCUGUACAACCAAAUUAAAGCUAGUUAAUCUUAUGUUUAACUGCUAGUUCGAAAAUAAAAGAGAUGGGAAACACGCUCACUUGAAGUUAUACACUAGUAGUAUGUACCUCUUGUAAUGUUGCUUGUCGAGGAACUUAUAUAUAUUCUUCAAGGUCCGAUUUGGUUUAUCUCUUAGAUUUGCCUCAUUUAUAACAUCAGGGUCUAUGUAGCCUACGUCAUAGUAUCUGUUCCUCCGACAAGUUUGAAUCUCCAUCCUGCAUGAUGCAAAAUUGAUUAUGAGUUAAGACAUCGCAAAUUGACUAGAGUGGGGAUUUUGAAGUUAGAGGAAUAUAUUAAAGACUUAUAGAACCCAGCAACUGAUGAGUGUGUUGUCAAGUGCAUCUUGAUUGAACAGGAAAUACAAUUCCUCCAGCAGCACAUUUAUGAUGUCAUCCCCACAAAAAUAAUGUUCAUCACCAAUCCAAACUUCGAUCAUGGCAAAACCCUCUGCUGUAGCCUCCAUGUACCAUUGGUGCAACUUACAUCUGUGUUGGGAGACGUUGCACCAACUGCGGCCACACAAGCGGUUUCCCAUACUCAUAUUUCCAUUUAGCAGCCCCAGGGUGCGUUGGGAUGUGAUCCUCCCCUUGAAGUUAAGCUGCGGUCAGAUUUGUAUCUUUAGCGAAUUGCAGUAGGUUCUUGUCAAACUCAGAAAGCACCUUGAGCGAGGCAACCGAUUGGUUGGAUUGGGCUCCAAGUUGAGGAAUAGUUGACUCACUUUUCUUCCUCUUCUUAGAAGCUUGAUUUGUUAUCUGCCUGUCGUAAUCAAAUAGUGGUGGUUUCUCUGGCUGUUUCCUUUGCUCUACCUCCAUGCUUCUGAUGAAAGGUCGAAGUUUACGCUUAUCAAGUGGUGGCUCCUAUUUCUAUUUCUACCUCCAUGUUUCUUUUUGAGCAACUCCAUGCUUUUUUCUCAACAUCCACUGCUGCCUUUAGUUCCUCAUCUAUCACAUCAUAUGGUAAUUUCUCAACUGGUUGCUUCUCCUUCUGCUUCUUCUACAUCUUCUUAGGAGGUGGCGGUGGAACUGAAGGCUUAUUCAUAGGAGGUGGAGGUGGACUCAUGCUUGGAUCCCUUUCUAGUACUGGACUCAUGCUAGGAUCUCUAUCUGGUAGUGGAGAGGGUGCCCUGGUAGAUGGCGUAGGUGAUCUUGCCCUUGAGCCUUGAGGAGAUGAUCCCAAGGUUGGGGGAUUCGGCUGCGUAAUCCUUAUGUAGCGCUUGGGCCACAGAAUCUAACCAUGGAUAGCUUCUCCUAGAUUCUUUUCCCCAUCACCUCCAGGGAUCUCUAGUUCCAGGUCAUCCCAACCGUCGACCACUCGAUCCACCCUAACUUUGGCGUAACCGUGAGCUGGAAUCUCCACGCCAUGAAGUGUUUGGCCUUGCGUCGGUUGCUCAGCCUCACCAUAAGCCACCGUGAUGAGCUUGUUUUUCAUGGGAGUAACAAGCUCACAAGGGGCUCUCCCAGUGAUGUCAUCCAUGGGGUGGUGUUGGUUGUCCUCAAGUAUCUCAGAGGAUCCUCUAGCUGGGGCUUCUGUGGAAGCAACACUACUUCGACGCUGAGUCAGGCUUACAUCGACAUGUGGCUCUGAUGCUGCCGCAGCUGCUUGUUCACUAGCUUGUUUGCUCAGAGCUAGCACCACACACCGGUCGAUUAUUUCCUCCAUUCUUGCCUCUGAUGCUGCUACUUGUUCUUGCAGCUCUUGCAGCUGUCGUACGUGGUCGGCCUUACUUCUUUGGCGAUUGCUAUAUGAUUCAAUGUGCUCAUGAAAGGCAAACUUCCACGGAAUGACUCCUUUGCCUUGGCAUCAUCCAGGGUGUUCGGGAUUUCCAAGUGCCAUAGUCAGCUCGUCCCUCUCUCGAUCAGGCAUGAAGGAUCCAUCGACCGUUUUCUUUACUAAGUCAUCAAGUCUUGUAGCUGCUUCUCUUAAUUCAUUGCUGAAUACAAUUGAUCCAUCUUUGGGAUUAAGCCUGCCGCCAUGAGCAUAAAACUAAUUCUUUGCUCGCUCAGGCCAUUCGACAGUCUGUGGCACUAUUCCCCUGGCAAUUAGGUCAUCUUUCAUUGUGACGACCGACCCCAAAUCUUUCGAGUUAAUCUUAAUCCGAGUCCCUGAUCCCCUAUCUCAGCUUCCCCAAGUUAAGCGCUCAACCUCCAGUCCCGGUCCCAACCCCUGAGACCUGACCCCUCUCCGCUGGUUCCCAGCUCUGACCCCUGCCGACCCCAACGCACCCCGUCGGAUCCUUCGAAGUCUUCCCAAUAGUGUCUCCCUUCAAUCUGAGCAGAAGACCAACCGAGACUGACCGGUGGACCUGCAAAAUCUUUUCCCAGAUCCCUCGAGACAGACGCACUCGAGCGGCCUGCACUCCUUCAGAGUUCCCCCGCCGCGUGGCUCAACUCCUCCGACCCCUACCGCUCCGCCCCGUCGUCGGCCGCGACCGGAUGGAUUCCCGCGCCCCAUUCCCCAAUCGCAGCAGAAGCCCUAUGCAACCCUUUCUGCAGUGCCUCGCAGCUCACGCCCAUCAUCACCUCGCCGGACCCCCGACUGCAAAGCCCGAUGCCUCCCAGCUUUUUUCGCCGCUUCUCCCCAGUCGCGCCGCCCUAGAUGCGCUACGCGACGAUUCCUCCUUCGCCAACCCCGACCUCAACUGCGACAGCCCCUUUUCCGCCUUGCCAGAACUGCGCCCCAACAGACCGCUGUUUCGUGCUCGCCCGUGUAGCCGCAGCCCGCCUGUCUUCUCACCAUUGCAACCUCGCUUCUAGCGCCGUUUCCCCUAUCACACCCAUCAGAUCCGCCGCACGACGACGCCCGCCUUCGCCAAAUCGCAACCACCGGCAAAACCGCGCCUGCUUUGCCCUGUCUCUGGUGCCCAAUGGCCGAAGGUGUCAUCCCCGAAGUCCUGUUCCGCCGCCCCGCUGAUCAAUCGCCACCAUGGCCGCGCACUCCAUCGUUUCUUCCCGGUCUUCGUGCUGCUCCAACUCUCUCUCUCCCCGCGCAGCUAUAAAAGGGAGUGCCAGAGUCCCGUCGGAGUCCCCUUCGCCAUCGCUGCCUUACCGCCAUUCCUCUGUUUCGUGCUCAAGAGCUGCCGCCUAAGUUCCUGAGGAACUCUCCUCUCUACCCAACACCUGCCUUUCCCGAUCCACCCAGCCACUUGCUCCUCCACGCUGUGCUAAAGCUUGCUUGUUGUCCACAAGAAGCACCGCCGCCGCCGCCGGAGCACCGCCGGACAUCGCCGCUGUAAGUCUUAGUGCUCCAGUUCCUCCGCCCAAGUCUGCUCCUUCCCGACCCCAAGUUUCACCUGUAAACCGAACGUAAGCUGCCGACCCUUUUCCACCUCGCUCGACCCUGUCUGUCCGUCCGACCCCUUUUUCCGCCUCGCCCGACCCUUCUGUUCGUCCGACCCCUUCUCCAUCUUGCCCGACCCUGUCUGUUUCGCCGACCCUUUCUCCGCCUCACCCGAGGGCUCGGCUGUAUCUUUUUCCUUGAACCGAGGGUAUAUGUGUAAAAAUCAGGGACUUCUCUGCGCUAAGUCUCAGGACCCCCAGCACAACUAUUCCUCUAGUCUAAGGGUCAGAUCAUAAGUUCCUUCCCAUCCGACCCUUUUAUCUUGCUCUCCACCAACCCAAGUGAACUUCCCCACCUUUUUCCAUAGCUUUGCUACAAGUUUCUGGGCUAAAACUUGCAAAUGUUGCUGCUGAAUUAACCGUCUAAAGUGCUAACUCUUGCAUUUGUAUUCGUGUAGAGUUGAAUCUCGCCGAUGGCGUCUACGAGCUGUACCCGGCGCCAGAAGAUGGGGUUGUAGCCGAGCUCCCACUUCCAGGAGCUGAAGCCGCCCUAGCAGAAGACCCGUUCCCUUCCUCCUCGCUUGAAGGCAAGCCCCGGAGCAUGAACCCCAGUUUCCCAAACUUGCGCAUGCCUUCUUCAUCAUGUUUGUGCAUUUACGUAUAGGAGUUGUUUGCAACCAUAGAUGCAUGACUUAGAUCCCUUGAUCUGAACACUAGUCUGUUGGGUUUGAGUAGUGGCAAUGGUUAAAUAGGAAGCGGUAAAAGUCGAGUGAUUUCCUGUCACUCGCGAGUUGUAGGAGUUGGUUGUUUCUCCCUCUAUUACCACUAUAAGGAUGAUGGAUGGGGCAAGGUUUUGGUUAACUCUUUGGUGGUCGGCUGAUCGCCCCGUCUGUCUAUGAAAUCUAUUAAGGCCCGACAGUGGUGGUGUUCGUGAUCAAGUGUUUGAAAGUACUAACCUCAUACUCAGUAUGGGAUGAGGAAGCCUAGUACCGGAUUGAACCUAGACGUGAGCGGUUGCCCCAUUGUCCUUGGAACGGAGUUCCCCUACGGCCGCACGUGGUGACAAGUGUGGUCACAGAACGGCAGAGGCCGGGUCUGUGGAACCUUGCACCAAAGGAAAUGGGCCCGACACGGGUUAGGGAAUUGAUGGGGAAGGCCGACACAGGAAGCGACCCUCGGUGGUGCGCAGAUGUCGUGAGGUUAGGUUCACCUUGCAUGGUUAAAGAACUUGAAUCGAUUCGUCUGCCUCUCACAGUUUGAGACUGCUUGAUCGGUAUGCUACACUGAGUAAUAAAAGAAUCUGAUGAUGACAUGGUCUUGAUGAUGUUAUAUACCCUUUGGUUGGAUCUAUGUUGCUUAGAGUAAGUUGACAACUUAGACCGGUUAAUGAACCUAGAAUCUGAGCUAAAACUUUGAAAAUAAGGAUCUACUUAGUGCUUUUGGCAAACAAACCCCUCAGCCAAAGAGCCUUGCAUGUCUAGAAGUGGUGGAGUAGUUUUCCUCUCGGUCGGUUAAGUCUUGUUGAGCUUAGUAGCUCAGCCUUGUUGUGGCUUUCUUUUUCAGGUGAAGUCGCAGCUCCUGAGUCUUCUCCUGUUUUCACUUGGCUGCCCCAACUCCCUCCGGGUUGGACGGUCGAGUGGGAUCCCUCCUCGGACGGCGUGGAAAGGGAUCACUAACGUCUUGGCUGGCCUCACAAAGGACGUCCGACCCCUACGUUUAGCUUCCGCAUGUUUUACCUUCUGUUGUUUUCUUCAGAACUUGUUAACUCUGAUUUUAACCCAGUGUGUAACAACUUGUAAUCUACUGUUGGACCUUUUGUAUUCUCUGGAACCACUCACCUUCGUGUGGGUUUUGCUAAACUCGAUCCUGUCAAAGUGGUUAAAUCGGAUGAAAUCCGACGGCAUCUUGAGUUAGCACGACUAAGGCAUGAGUGUCGCGUCUAAAGCGACUUAACCAUGUUUUAAUCAAGCUAAUCCGAGGUGGUUCCGCCACAUUCAUCCUUUGCCAUUUCAUGAUCCCUGGCUUGUAACCUCCUAUCCCAAGACAAUGAAAGUUUGCUUCUUGUAAGCAUUGUCGGUGUUGGUCUGAGUUUGCAACUGGCUCUUUUCCGACUGAUUGAAUUGUACAAAGGAAUCCCAGUGAACCCUUAACUUCGAGUGCUUAUUGAAAUAAGGUGUAAGCCCCUUCUUUGUGUACUCUUUGUUCAAGUUUUUCUUGUACGUCUGAAAAGCAAUUGCAGCCUUCUUGAAGCCCCAUUAUUUCACUUUGUCUUCCUCUACAUCUUCGAAUGUGAAGUUAUCUUUUAAUUGUUGCCAUAACAUAUUCUUCUCUCGGUCAGGUACGUAAAGGACCGUGCUUGUGGGGACCGGAACCAUGCUUGUGUUGGAGGUAUGCCCUAGAGGCAAUCAUAGAGAUGAUGAUAUUCCAUUUGUAUCCAUGAUUUAUAUUGUGUUCCUUGAAUAUCCAUUAAAGACUACUCAAAUUGAUUUGCAAUUAUGUAAAUUGUGUGUGAAACUCUUUACUUGUAUGGUUAUUCUAAAGUUGUCCCUAGUCGGAGUUCAUGUGAGGACACACAUGAAUAUUAGACUAGCACAUGUAUUAGUUGAUGAUUAUGUAUCACAAGUCAUGGACAUGGAGAUGUUGAACUAAUAAUGUGGGCACAUGUGGAGACAUGUGCUAGGACUGACCCAACAUGAGAAGUAGUUCUCUCUUUAAACAACAUAUACGCUUUGUCCUUAGACCUGAGAUUGUCGCAUGUAUUCAAGAUGUGGAUCGACCUACUUAGGGGCUAUCAAACGCUACGCUGUAACAGGGUAGUUAUAAAGGUAGCUUUCAGGUUUGUCAAGAAGCAUGCUAUGAGACAUGGUCAAUCAAGAUGGGAUUUGCCCCUCUCUGAUUGAGAGUGAUAUCUCUGGGCCCCUCGAGUGAUCAGAUCCGAAAAUGCAUGGUCAUGCUACGUACGGUUAAGAGUUAACCUACAAAGGGAUUCCGAAUCAUAGGAUCGAGAAAGAGCGAUCGGCUUGAAGCUAGACCAAAUCUCGUGAGGCAAAGAGAAUAGCAUGUAUAUAAUGUUGUGAUGGUUCGUCUGAUAUGAUCUUCGUGUGCAUAUAGGAGUUGGCACGUCUUGCUAGAGGCUGCUACCGACUAUUGGGCCGAGUAGGAGUACUCGGGCCAUGUCUAUACGUAUCUGAACCCAUAGGGUCACAGACUUAAGGGGCUGGAAGCCCAAUUCGGAUGUGAUCCGAGUUGGAUUAGGUUUAGAAGUACUAAUGGGCCACGGACCCAGAGGCCCGUUAGGAACCUCUAUAAAUAGAGGGGUGGGGGCGCCCUAGGGUACACACCUUUUUGGCGAAACACAUCUGCUGCACCUCCCACGCCCUCACUUGUUGUAACUCACGGAUCUAGCAGUCCGGCUUGCGACGCUUCCUCCCUGCACAUGUGGAUACCUUGGAGGUGUUGCGCCUGCAGCACUUGCAUGAGUCGCCGACGAGCCACGACGAGCCACGACGAGCCGACAACGAGCCACGACGAGUCGACGAUGAGCCGCGGCACGAGGGCGAUCUUCCUGCACGUGGACGAGCUGCUGAGGAGCUGUUGGACGUCGACGUGAUCGACUACGUACGACUACGCUGAUUGACUUUGCUGCAUCGAUGCGAAUCUACAACUUCUACACCAGUGCGUCGAGUGGUAAUCCCAUGAUCCUUAUACGGCAGUUUUCCUGUUUUACGCGGUAGAAAAUUUUGAUUUGCGCUAGUGUAGCCUACCUCGUAUCCCUACAGUGGUAUCAGAGUUGUAGCUGUUUAGUUUUGGAUUCGGAAUGUGUGCAUAUGGAGAUAUGCGAUUUUUCAAUUUGAUCUAUGUCCUGGUUUCGUGUUCUUGCUGCAAUGGUAGUGUAACGACAUACUCCUACCGGUUGGGUUUCCGCCAUCGGAGUUAAGUGAUACACGUAAUUCCAGUUGCAGUGAGCGAAGAUCAAUGUGAUUGGUCCAAUUGAAAUCCAGGUUCAUACGCUAGGCGCAUGAGAUGUGCAAUAGUAGAUGGGAUCUACUACCGGGGUCGGGAUUUUGCCGUGUGCGUAUGCUUCGGUAAAUCAGCCAUAACUUUUCGGUACGAUCUCAGAUCGGGGCGAAUUUUAUAUGAAAAUUGAUCUAAAGAAAAAGUUACACAUGAAAUUCAAUGGUUUUGCCAUUUUUGGCAAAAUUAGAUUUCCCACAUUCGGCUUGGAAGAUGGAGUUUCGGGCCUCCGAAGUUUGGAACGUUAGGACGCUUAACUCUAUUUUGCAGGAUGUAUGUAUCUUAUGAUCAGUAUGACCCCUUUGUGUAUGUGAUGCAUGUGUGUAACUCAUUCGUGACCUGCGUGUCGCGCAUACGGCAACACGGCAGGAGCCAUAUGUGUUGUCACUUUAAUGUAUUUAAUGGUCUGCGUAUCAAUCUGUGAUGAUCCAAGCAACUAUGUAAUCUUCAUUACUAGCUUUUUUACUAGCUAUUAGGCGUAAUAGCAUGUUCUAGUUCUUGGAGGACUCAUCACUAGGAGGAUGGCGCACAUGGAACAUGGAGAUGGAGAUCACCAUAAGAAAACGGGCCAUACUGUGUCACAACUGUGUGAAUGCUAUUCUGUUUAUGUUUUACUUUCUGCAUGCUGUGAUGUUAGAAGUAGAACGAUCCCUCGUAAAGUUUAAGUUAGUAUGCCCUCCCAACUAAAACUUGCACCGUCCCAUAUCUUGUACAAUUAGUGGUGGGUCUAUGAAAUUAGGGUGCCACUAGUUUUCCUUGAUUAGACGGGUUUGUGUCGGACACUUACACGCAUAAGGGUUGGUUUGCUUAACAAGGUUAACUUAACGGUUAAGGACCUUGGGGCAUAAAGGUUGGGCGCCGAGAUAGGGAGAUGUCACCCAACAACAGGAGUCAUAUGUGAUAUGAUUAGCAAAAGUUGCUUACCGAUCUACCUUGUUUGCUAGCGGUGAUGCUAAAGCUCACUAGUAGACUUGUUAGUUGUGGAUCCUGAAUCACUAAGUAUCAAUAGAGGGAUAUUGAUUUUAGUGGGAGUAGAUUCUGUUAAAAUAGUUUAAUAUGAUUUGCUCUAUCAUGGAUACGUUUGUCUUAGUGUAUUUUUCAUUACUUUUGUUGUAGAUUAAAUGGCACCUAGUGGCACUACACCGUUUGCUUUGCGUUCGGUCCUUGAGAAGGACAAGUUGAAUGGAACAAAUUACUCAGAUUGGAUCCGUAACCUAAGAAUUGUUCUCAGGGCGGAGAAAAAGGAAGAUGUUCUAGACAACCCACUACUAGAAGAACCUGCUGAUGAUGCACCUGCUGCUACUAAGAAUGCUUACAAGAAAGCAUGUGAUGCUAACCUCGAAGUAAGCUUGCAUGGAACCUGAGCUGCAGAUGCAGUUCGAAGCAAACCAUGAGCCGCACGAUAUGAUCAUGGCGCUUAGAGACAUGUUCCAAACACAGGCCACGACUGGAAGGUUCAAUGUGUCUAAGGCCUUUGUGGAGAGCAAGCUAGCAGAAGGCACAGCAGUAGGACCACACAUAAUCAAGAUGGUUGGUUACACUCAACAGUUGGAGAAGAAGGGCUAUCCUUGGAAGAAGAAGGGCAAGGCUGGAACGUCCAAGCCAAACCUAGCGCCCAAGGUUAAAGCUGGACCUGGACCUGCUCCAGACAAAGAGUGCUUUUACUGUUAUGAACUUUGUCACUGGAAGAAAAAUUGCAAGCACUACCUAGCUUCAUUGAAAAAUGGCGGAAGUAAGAGUACUUCCACCUCAGGUACGCUUGUUAUUAAUGUUAUAGACAGCAUAUUUCUUGCUGAUACAAUUGUUAAUUCUUGGGUAUUUGAUACCAGAUCGGUUGCUCAUAUUUGCAAUUCGAGUUGCUUGUUGAUUUCCGCGUGGGCAAUAAUGCAAGAGUUGCUGCGUUGACCGUCGGGACGAUGCAACUCCACCUCCCGUCAGGAUUUAUUAUGGAGUUGAAUAAUUGUUAUUUCGUUCCUAGUUUAAGUCGAAACAUUUUGUCUCCUUCAUGCUUGAUGAAGGAUGGUUAUUCAUUUGCAAGUGAAAACAAUGGUUGUGUGAUCUCUAAGAAUGAUAUGUUUAUGGCUUUUGCACCCAUUGUGAAUGGAUUGUUUGUUUUAAAUCUUGAUGGUUCACCUGUCUGUAAUGUAAGUGCUAAAAGGCCUCGGCCUAAUGAUUUGAGUCCUACCUACUUGUGGCAUUGUGGUUUGGGUCAUAUAAGUGAAAAACGCAUGAAGAAGCUCCAUUCUGAUGGACUCCUAACUUCGUUUGAUUUUGAAUCAUACGAGACAUGUGAGGCUUGCUUGCUAGGCAAGAUGACCAAGACGCCUUUCACAGGAUUUCCUAAGAGAGCAGUAGACUUGUUGGAACUCGUACAUAGCGAUGUAUACGAACCAAUGAGCACGACGGCUAGAGGAGGAUUCCAAUACUUCAUAACUUUCACUGAUGAUUUUAGUAGAUAUGGCUAUGUCUACUUGAUGAGGCACAAAUCUGAAACCUUUGAAAAGUUCAAGGAAUUUCAGAAUGAAGUUGAAAAUCAGUGUGGCAAGAAAAUUAAGGCCUUACGAUCUGAUCGUGGAGGCAAGUAUUUGAGCCACGAGUUUAGCAAUCAUCAAAAGAGUUGUGGAAUUGUUCCACAACUUACGCCGCUUGGAACACCUCAGAGAAACGGUGUAUCCGAGGGACGUAAUUGAACUUUGUUAGACAUGGUUCGAUCAAUGAUGAGCCAGUCGGACCUACCAUUGUCAUUUUGGGGAUACGCUCUAGAAAUAGCAGCUUUCACAGUUAAUAGGGUACCAUCUAAAUCCGUAGUUAAGACACCAUAUGAGAUGUGGACUGGAAAGGUUCCCAGUUUGUCUUUUCUAAAGAUUUGGGGAUGUGAAGUGUUUGUCAAGCGACUUCAGUCGGACAAGAUCACACCCAAGUCAGAUAAGUGCAUUUUCGUGGGAUAUCCAAAGGAAACUUUGGGAUAUUAUUUCUACAACCGGUCAGAGGGCAAAGUGUUUGUCGCACGGAACGGGGUUUUCCUAGAGAAAGAGUUUCUCAAAGGAGAAAAUAGUGGAAAGACAGUGCAUCUUGAAGAAGUUCAAGAUGAGCCGGUCAAGCAAGAAUCAAUUAGUGACGCUAACGUAGCAGAACAAGUUGAGAUACCCAUGGCAAGAGAAGCACCGCCACAACCACAAAGGUCGGCAAGGCUCUGCGAAAUACGAGAAAUAUUAUUGUUGGACAAUGAUGAGCCUGCGACAAAGGUAUGCAAGCUUCAAAGAUCCAUUUAUGGAUUGAAGCAAGCAUCUAGGAGUUGGAACGUUCGUUUUGAUGAAGUGGUCAAAGGGUUUGACUUCACCAAGAACGAAGAAGAGUCUUGUGUUUACAAGAAGGUUAGUGGGAGCUCUGUAGUAUUUCUAAUCUUAUAUGUGGAUGACAUAUUGCUGAUUGGAAAUAACAUUCCUAUGGUUGAGUCCGUAAAAACUUCACUGAAAAAUAGUUUUUCGAUGAAGGACUUAGGGGAAGCGGCAUAUAUUCUGAGCAUUAAGAUCUACAGAGAUAGAUUGAGAAGGCUUAUAGGAUUAAGCCAAGAUACUUACAUUGACAAAGUGUUGAGGCGGUUCAGUAUGGAAGAGGCAAAGAAAGGGUUCUUGCCUAUGUCACAUGGCAUACAUCUCAGCAAGACUCAGUGUCCUUCGACUGCUGAUGAGUGGGAUCGCAUGAGUAGAGUGCCAUAUGCCUCGGCUAUUGGAUGUAUCAUGUAUGCAAUGAUAAGUAAUCACCCAGAUGUUUCAUAUGCGCUAAGUAUGACAAGCAGACACCAGUCUGAUCCAGGUGAGAGUCACUGGACAGCGGUGAAAAACAUUCUUAAGGACUUGAGAAGGACUAAAGAUAUGUUCCUCGUCUAUGGAGGUGAGGAGGAGCUCGUUGUAACAGGUUACACCGAUGCUAGUUUCCAAACCGACAGAGAUGAUUCAAAGUCACAAUCAGGAUUUCUGUUCACGCUAAAUGGUGGUGCUGUUAGUUGGAAGAGUUCCAAGCAGGAGACAGUGGCCGAUUCUACGAUAGAAGCCGAGUACAUCGCGGCUUCAGAAGCCGAGAAGGAGGGUGUUUGGAUAAGGAAUUUCCUCAUUGAGCUUGGUGUGUUCCCGAAUGCGUCCAACCCAUUGAAUCUCUACUGUGAUAACAAUGGGGCAAUUGCGCAAGCAAAGGAGCCAAGGAACCACCAGAAGAACAAACACGUAAUGCGGUGAUUUCAUCUCAUUCGAGACUUCGUUAACCGGGGUGAGAUCAAGAUAUGCAAAAUACACACGGAUCUGAACAUUUCUGAUCCGUUGACAAAACCACUCCCGUAGGCUAAGCAUGAUGCGCAUGUAAGAGCUAUGGGUAUUAGGUACCUUCUAGAUUGACUAUAGUGCAAGUGGGAGACUGUUGGAGGUAUGCCCUAGAGGUAAUCAUAGAGAUGAUGAUAUUCCAUUUGUAUCCAUGAUUUAUAUUGUGUUCCUUGAAUAUCCAUUAAAGGCUACUCAAAUUGAUUUGCAAUUAUGUGAAUUGUGUGUGAAACUCUUUACUUGUAUGGUUAUUCUAAAGUUGUCCCUAGUCGGAGUUCAUGUGUGGACACACAUGAAUAUUAGACUAGCACAUUAGUUGAUGACUAUGUAUCACAAGUCAUGGACAUGGAGAUGUUGAACUAAUAAUGUUGGCACAUGUGGAGACAUGUGCUAGGACUGACCCAACAUGAGAAGUAGUUCUCUAUUUAAACAACAUAUACGCUUUGUCCUUAGACCUGAGAUUGUCGCAUGUAUUCAAGAUGUGGAUCGACCUACUUAGGGGCUAUCAAAUGCUACGCCGUAACAGGGUAGUUAUAAAGGUAGCUUUCGGGUUUGUCAAGAAGCAUGCUAUGAGACAUGGUCAAUCAAGAUGGGAUUUGCCCCUCUCUUAUUGAGAGUGAUAUCUCUGGGCCCCUCGAGUGAUCAGAUCCGAAAAUUCAUGGCCAUGCUACGUACAGUUAAGAGUUAACCUACAAAGGGAUUCCGAAUCACAGGAUCAAGAAAGAGCGGUCGGCUUGAAGCUAGACCAAAUAUCGUGAGGCAAAGGGAAUAGCAUGUAUAUAUUGUUGUGAUGGUUCAUCUGAUAUGAUCUUCGUGUGCAUAUAGGAGUUGGCACGUCUUGCUAGAGGCCGCUACCGACUAUUGGGCCGAGUAGGAGUACUCGGGCCAUGUCUAUACGUAUCCGAACCCAUAGGGUCACACACUUAAGGGGCUGGAAACCCAAUUCGGAUGUGAUCCAAGUUGGAUUAGGUUUAGAAGUACUAAUGGGCCUCGAACCCAGAGGCCCGUUAGGAACCUCUAUAAAUAGAGGGGUGGGGGCGCCCUAGGGUACACACCUUUUUGGCGAAACACAUCUGCCGCGCCUCCCACGCCCUCGCCUAUUGCAACUCACAGAUCUAGCAGUCCGGCUUGCGACGCUUCCUCCCUGCACGUGUGGAUACCUUGGAGGUGUUGCACCUGUAGCACUUGGAUGAGUCGUCGACGAGCCACGACAAGCCGCCGAUGAGCCACGACGAGCCGACAACGAGCCACGACGAGUCGACGACGAGCCGUGGCAUGAGGGCGAUCUUGCUGCACAUGGACGAGCUGCUGAGUAGCUGCUGGACGUUGACGUGAUCGACUACGUACGACUACGCUGAUCGACUUCGCUGCAUCAACGCGAAUCUACAACUUCCGCACCAGUGCGUCGAGUGGUAAUCCCAUGAUCCUUAUACGGCAGUUUUCCUAUUUUACGCGGUAGAAAAUUUUGAUUUGCGCUAGUGUAGCCUACCUCGUAUCUCUACAGCUUGUUGAAGCUUAUUUGUUAGGUUUUUUCCAAUUCUGAAUGCUGAUUGGGAUCUUAUCUCUGACAAGAAAUCCAAUCUCAUUCACCAAUUUUGUCAUAGCAUUGGCAGGAGUAAUCGGUUCACCAUCUUCAGCAAUUUCUGUGAUGAUGAUACGGCCCUCUAACUUCUUGUUCUUGCCUCAUUUUUUUUGAGGUCUGCUGCUCGAUCCAGAUGGCUAAAAAAUGACAAUUUGUUGCAUGAUGAUGUUUCUUUUAAUAAGAAGAGAAUUCAAAUAAUGUUUACCUAUAAUAAUUGUUAUACCUCGCCUUGUUGCCCAUCAUUGCCUCCCUCGGCAAUUUGUUGCUCCUCAUUGCCUCCCUUGGCAAUUGGUUGCUCCUUGUUACCAUCACCAGCCAUGUUGAGGUUGAUGUCAGCUUGGCUGUGAUCGAUCUCUUCAUUUGGUUGAUCGUUUGUGCUGCCUUCAGCAAUCAACUGAAAUAUGAGCUCCUCUGCUGUUCGGGCAUCAUGCUCAUCCUCCGAUCGUGCUAUUGUAACUAGUAUAAUAUAAAAGGAUUUAUUCUAAGAAAUAGUAGGCAACAACAUUAAAAAGAAUGACUACAAAAAGAAUUAAACACUUAUACAAUUUGUAACAAUAAUAAAUAACUAAAAAAAGGAUGAUACACUUAUACAACUUGGUGAAAAAAGAAUGACUAUUAUAAUUUAUAAAAGUAUCACAGUAAUUUUCACUUAUUUCUAGACAUUCUAACAAUUAAUAGAAUUUUGUAACAUGGCAUGUUGAACAAUUUACAAUCAAUAAGCUUUUCCAACAAUUUUUAUAUAAUUUCAAACUAAUUCAAGAUUUUUUCUAUAUUCUCUAGCUAAUUCAACAUUUUUCCUACAAUUUCUAGUUAAUUCAUAUAUUGCAAAAAUAAAAAAGAAUUGAUAACAAAAAUAGAAUGAAACACUUCUACAAUAAAAAAAGAAUUGAUAACAAAAAUAGAAUGAAAUACUUCUACAAUAAUUACAGUAAAUUGCUAGAAAAUAACAACAUCAUAACAAGAUUUUCACAUUUUUUAUUAAUAUUUAAGAAUUAAUAGGAUUUUCUAUAAUUUCUAGCUACUUCAAGAAUGUUUCUCUAUUUUCUAGCUACUUAAACAAUUCUCUAAUACUGCAGAAAUAAAGAAAUAAAUGGCAUGAUUUCCAACACCUACACAAAUUUCCUACAAUUUCUAGAUAAUCUUCUACAAUUUCUAGAUAAUUUCUACAAAUUUCCUACAAUUUCUAAUGCUACAGGAAUAAAAAAAAGAUGACAUCACGGCCGGCCGCGGGGUUACGUCAGUGGGGAGCAAGCCCGCGGCCGGCCGCAAGUGUGCGUUCGUGCGCGGAAGGCUAGGGGGUGCGUGUGGAGGCCAGGGCGCCGGGGAUGGGGGCGGCGCGGACGGGGGCGGCGCGGACGGAGGCGGUCAGGCGGCGCGAUCGCAGCGGCUCAGACGGAGGUGGCCGGUGACGUACGGCACGGGGCACGCAGUCGGGGUGGCGCGGUCGGAGAGGCGGUGACGUAUGAGGCGCGUGGAGGCCGGGGACAGAGGCUGGGGUGGCGGCGGUGCGGUGGAGGCGGUGCGGUCGGGGCAGAGGCGACGAGGCCGAGGGUCGGGGUUGACGGGGCCGGCUGGGGCGAUAAGAAUGGCAGGGGUGAUGGAGGCGUGGUGGCCAUGGGGCUGGGGACGGCAGCAACGGGAAUGGCGGCGGUGACAAGGGGGCGAUGAGGCAAGACGGUGACUAGGGCGCGACGCUGAUGGAUGAGGUGACAAGCACGGAGGCGGCGGCGGUGGAUCAAGGCGAUGAGCACCAAUGCGUGAAAUGGCUAAGUAUUUAGGGAAAAGAAGGUGAGGCGGCUUUAACCCCCCUAGUACCGGGCAAGAAAAAUACCCGGUACUAGAACCCCUUUAGUACCGGGUGCUGGGCACAACCGGUACUAGAGGGGGGCCUUUAGUACUGGGUGUUCCCACCACCUGGUACUAAAGGACCCCUGCGCGUGCGAAAUGAAAAAUGGCGCCCUUUAGUACCAGGUGUUCCGACCACCCAAUACUAAAGGCGUUGCAUUGUCCUGUUUGAAUUUUCUACCCAUCUUUUUAUUUUUCUAUGACAGCCCGAGUAAUUAAGAACCUAAAUUAAAUAAUCAACAGGGUGAUUAAGAAGCAAAUCAAAACUAACUCCAAAUUGUUGAGAGUUAAGAUAAAAAACACCUUAGAUUUUGACGAGGGUUAAAACUCCUUUCUAUUGAUAAUCACUAGUGAGGCUAAUAAAAAUAAAUUUUAUAUAAGAACUAAAUUUUGGCCAAUACAAAAGUGAUAGACCUUUUCAAAUGGAGCAACUUUAAAAAUAUGCACUUUCUUGAUUUGGAAGUGGAAAGACUCCAAAAACUGAGUAGAAGUUUGGUCAAAUUUCAAGUCAAAUCCAAAAAUAGCUUUGACCGGCGUCCGCCAAAUUUCCCACAAUCCUAGUUCCAAAUCCAUCAAGUUCCUCAUAUAUCGGCCUUUAUAAAAGGUAUAAUCCACACCUUAAACUCCAACUUUUAUUUUUGGGAAUGCAAGCACAAAGUUCAAACUUGGUGAGAAAAUACAUGUUAAACCCGACACCUUUGCACGACAUGCAUCACAAGCAUCUUUGAGCAUCAUGAACAUCCUUUUGCACAUAAUUGAACCUCAUGAGCAUCAUUUGUGCACAUUGGAGCAUUGUAACCAUGCAUUGUUUAAGUGCCCAGAAAUUGAUUGUUUACUGUUGAAAAAAAAAAUUUAUGAAGCAACCCCAAUUUCCUUUAUACAACUGUGCCUCCUAUUAUUUUAGUUAAAUACUAGAUACACUUUAGUGAUUUUACAAUAUUUUUAAUAAAUUUUUUAGAAGUGUUUGCUUGUGCUAAAAAUUCAUUUAAAGUUCAAUUUUGGCUAUUUUGUUUUGUCGAUUGCAUGAAAACCAUAAUAGCUUUUGAGUUGAUUCAUGUUGAAUUGUAUUCUUUGUGAUUUAUCUUUCCAACAAAUAUUUUUGGGAAAUUUUUGGACAAGUGUAGCUGGUUCAAAUAAGGAGAGAAAGUGGUAGUAGUGAAAAAUCUCAUGGGCCCACACGUCAAUCACCAGGUUCCCCUUUCUUCCUCCUCUCUCCACCACACGCACGCCAGAUGGCCGGCACGGACACUGAAGAUCACCGAUUGGCCACCUUCAAUAUGCUAGCAGGGCUUCCCAUCGCCGGUUGGUUGCCCGAGCAUCGCCCACGUGCUUCCCCCGCCGUGCCACGCCUCUCCUCGCGCUCGGUUGGGUAGGAGCCGGACCGAACGGCAUGGGCACCAGGUGGCCAUCGAACUCCGGCAUCGCCCCUUACUACCAAUGCUGAGCAGCGACGCCGUGGUGUUCUUAUCGUCUUGCCCAUCCUUAUCUUCUCAUGCCCCAGCCCUUAAAUCAGCCCUCUCCCAAGCCUCCUUCCCCUCCUUUGCCUUGCAACAGAAACUUUCCCCAUUGCCGAGCUCCCCAACAUGUCCCUAUUCUCUGAUGAAAUCCACCCAACUCCAGCCACCUCCCUUCAAUAGCUCGUGCCCAAAGCUACUCCACUUCCUUGGCUUCGCCCUCCACCACUUCUCAUCCACAGAAUCGACGGGAAUCGAAGUUCCCCAAAACUUCUAGGAAAUUUUCACCCGCCACCACUGCCUCUCCAUGGCGCCCCAUCUCCCAGCUGCCGUCAUCCUCAUCUAAUGCCUCAAACGGAACCGCGGUGAGCCCCUAAUCGUGAUGCUUGUGUUUGUUUUGUUUGUUGGGUGACUUUCCACGCUCAUUCCCGGCAACGUCACCGGGCGUUCGCUGUCGAUCGUGGAGCACCUGUUGCUCCAGGGAGUCCCCUGGCCCUGGGCAUGGCGUCGCCGCCCCUCCUCCUCGCGCCCUGCUACGUUUCCCCCUAUCCCGAGCCACGCUAGUGCGCCCGUGCCCAAACCGUGCAUGCCUCUUAUCUGUUUAGGGGUGCAGGGACUUGAUUGGAGAAGAAGGAGAAGUUCCACGGGGUGUUGCAUAAAAAGUUAGUAUUUAUGUGUGAGGUGGAAUCCGUUCAGGGGCUAGAGUGUGAAACGUAGAGGGUAGAUGGUUAAGAGAAGGGUAGAUCUGAGAAAGGAAUUGUUUUUCCAGGGGGUAGCUUGCAAAGUUGCUAGGUUUUGUUUUGUUUGCUAAAGUAAAAAAAUUGCAAACUUUGAAAAUGCAUAGAAAACUGUAGGAAAUUGCUAAAAAUGUGAUUCUUAUUUUGGAUUCCUUGUAGUGUCUAGUUUAUUUCAAAAAUGAUUUUGUGCACACUGCUAUUUUAUAUUUUGUGCUAUGAUUUAUUUUGUGUGAAAGCCUUUAAAUGCUUUAUAAAUCACAUAGUGCUCUAAAAAUUGUGGAAUCACUUUUGUUAGUUUCCUUGUAACAUGCAUGUUCAGACAUACAACUUGUGUGAGUAGAAUUUGUAGUGUUCCUACUGUUUUAGAUUUAAAUGCUUACUUGCUAUGUUAAUCUAGUUAUUUGCAUAAUAAAUAGUGGAAAAGUGAUAAAAUGAUGAAACCAUCACUAUUAGUCUUUGUGUUCCACAUAGAAUCUAGGAAAAAUGAUACUAAAAAUUUUAUGGUUGAUUUGCAAACCUUUUUAGAUUUAAUGUGCUUAAUGGUAGUUUAACUUGUUUAACUCAUAUUUCCACAUUAAAAAUUGAUUUUGGGGUGAAUCCAAGUCUCAUGAUUUUGUGUUGAUUGUCUUCUGUUGAUACCAUGACUAUUUCUCAACAGAUAAUUUUAAUCUUGCAAUUUCGUGGUUACUUUUGACUUAUCAUGCAAACUAGUUUUUUUCGUCCUCUUGUAUGACCUUGUACUAUUUAGCUAGUGUCGGGGGGACAUAUUAAUGCCUUCCUUAUAUUCCUUAAACGACGGUCAUAAGGGCCUGGGCCCAUCUCCCGCAACAAUGAUCUCUGCCUCGCCCGACCCCCCCGAGGCCGCUCCUCAUCCCAGCCGAGAGUAUUUCGCCUCGCCCGACCCCUCGUCGUAAGGCUCCACCUCGCCCGACCCCGGGCGCAAGGGGUCGGACGCGCCCGAUCCCUCAUCGCCUAACCCCGAGGGCUAAGGGUUGGACAUAUCCGGACCCACAGGGCAGAGCUUCACCUCGCCCAAGGACGUGCGUGGACUAGCAGAUGAGGGCGCAGGUCUUGUGGGCCCCCACCGAUCUCGCCAUAAAUGCAACCGAUGGGACGCCCAUGUCCAGAAUACGGCUCUGACACAUGGAGAGGCGCCCGCGUUCCUCGAUGUGACCCACCCGAGUUUUCGGGCGGCGCACUGCUGCCACGACUGCACAGGGCUACAGCUGCACCAUCCUAACCCUCCCCUGUGAUAUUCGUCAUAGGAUACUCAUCGCCCAUGCUGGCUAACGAAGGAGGGUGCGCCGUCCGGUUUCCUGCUCGUCCUGGCGGUAGGGGCAUGUCAGUCGCGCCCCCCGGUCGGCAUGCGUGGCUACAGUGGUCACCCGUCAUUCGCGACAUGCACGGCUAUGGUGGCCAGUCAUCAUCAUCAACUCGCACAGCUACAGUGGUCGGUCACCAUGCACGUCUCACGUGUUCGACUGAAGUGGCCGACCGCUGGGUCAUCGAUGGGACCCAACGGCAACCACCCCUCCUUGGUGGCCAUGCUAACGAGACGCACAAAUCAGAAGGGAAGGCAGCAACCCCGGUGGCUCGGCCCAUCUCCCUGUGCUUUGCCUUCCUUUCUUACCUUUCUACCUUUUUAAUUUCCUUACGCCCGGCUCAUUUGUAACCCCUGUAUCCUCAUUGCACUAUAAAAGGAGACCAGGGGGCCUGACGGCUCUUGAGCGAACCGAACGACCCCCAAUUCACAACCCUUCCACACGAGCAUCAGUACACACCCACAGAGACUUGGGACCAGCUUCCCUCUCUCACCCGUUUGUAACCCCUACUACAAACUUGGCACGAGUAACACUAGCAGCCUCCAACACUGGACGUAGGGCUAUUCCUGCCUGAACCAGUAUAAAUUUUGUGUCCUCUCGAGCAACCAUCCAGGCCUUACACGCAUAGAAAACAAAUUUACUUGCCAGAGUCUUGACCCGUGAUUCUUGACACCGACAAUUGGCGCGCUAGGUAGGGGGCCUUUGCACGUAUGACGAUCAUCACCGGCUUCGGAUGGCCAACCACAACAUCGACUUCGCUCUCGGCUUCCACAUCCGCUUCAAGAGCCUGGACUUCCUCACCACGGGAGAGGGAAUCGAGCUGAUUCCUCUCCUCGUCCUGCCCGCUCACCCCAUCACCUCCAGCUCCGCCGCCUGAACAGUGGUAAGCGGCUAGGCGCGCACCACGGGGCCUCCUUCGGAGGAGUGGCCCUUUGGCCUACGCAACGCCGCAAUGACUUAUGGUCGUAUCUUGGCACGAUCCAUGAUCGUGCCACCCGCGAACAAUGAGUUCGUGGGCGUAAUGGAAAUGGCCUCCGACGCUGGUUCCGACAACGGGAGCCACCACCCCUCGCGUGAGUGGUUCAUGGCCGACGUGCACUGCGUGGGGUCCAAUGACGAUGGCGGCGAAGGGAGGCAAUGCACUCCCCCACCACGCACUGCAGCUACAGCCGGAGCCCUCGCCAGGGUCCCAGAGAAGCCUUGGCUGCCGGAGGCGUGCGCGGUGCCCAAUCAGGAGGCCGAGCACCCCCGCAAUGAAGGUGGGGCGUGUCAACGGGCACGCGACGUCCAACGGCACAUCCGAAGGACAAGGAACGUCCUCAACUCUUCGCACGCGCCAGCUAGAACAUUGCUGCCACAGCGGCCCUACUCCGACGACUCCCCAAGCCAGCGAUGCCAGAGGAGCGACAGGCCCACCAAGAGGUGCGCAACCUGCUUGAGUGCGCCGCAGUCCAGUAGAUGGUGAGCUUCGCGUCCCAGCGACGCGGGCACAACGCCAGCAGGGCAGCGCCCACCGCGCCUCCUGAAAGGUGUUGGGAGUCUAUCCACCAGCCUCCCCCCGGGGGGAACCGGGCCGCGCCCGCUCGACGGCCCCCACCGUCUGCAGGUGGCGGAGCCCCAUCUGUCCACCGGCGCGUUGGUCCCGUCCGCGACGCUCAUGACACCCUGGAUGCGCGGAGGCGCUCCCGCGCAGACAGGGAGGAUGGAGCCGACCGCGGCUACCACGUACACCGUGGUGGCCGCUACGACAGUGAAGAAGAUCGGAACCCGAGCCCUGACCCAGCGGGGCCCAGGGCCUUCUCCGCACGCAUCCUGAACGCACCGUUCCCGGCAUGUUUCAGGCAGCCCACCAACAUGGCCAAGUACUCCGGGGAGACAAACUCAGGGCUUUGGCUCAGGGACUACUGGCUUGCUUGUCAGGCCGAUGGGGCGGAUGACGACCUGUUCAUCAUCCGCAACCUCCCUCUGUUCUUAGCCAACUCAGUGCGAGCUAGGAUGGAACACCUUCCGUCAGGUCGGAUCCGGAACUGGAAUGACCUAAAGGAAAUCUUUGUAGGGAACUUCGAGGGCACGUACGUGCACCCCGGAAACUCCUGGGACCUCCGGAGCUGCCGCCAGAGGUCGGAUGAGUCCCUCCAAGACUACAUCCGACGCUUCUCCAGGAAGCGCACCGAGCUCUCCAAUGUCGUCGAUACCGACAUCAUCAGAGCCUUCCUUGCGGGAACCUCCUGCAGGCCCCUGGUCCACAAACUGGGACAUAUGGGCCCAUGGACCACCGAGGAGCUCCUCAACAUCGCCACCAACUUCGCCUUGGGCGAGGAGGCCGUUGGGGCGAUCUUCGAUUGCUCCAAGGGCAAGGCGAAGCAGGAGGAGGACGCCGGCGAAGGCACCUCCAACCAUCAGAAGAAGAGGAAUAUCGAAUAGCUAAGUCGCUUUUACCUUUAGCUGUCAUUUCUAAGCGAUGUACAUGCCUCCACCAUUUCUGUUUGUGAAAAAAGGGGUGUUUUGAGUUGCUUUCGCUAAAGUUUUGUUCCAAGCUUAGGGAUAUCCGACCCUGGCUCUGCCCCAGGGUCGCAUAUUCCUCGGGGGCUGUCAAGGGCUCCAGCCCAAGACACUUGGCAUCCUCUCAAAACAUCACUUUUUCCAAACCGACCCUCUUCCUAAACGUUUGGACGCGAAAAGAGGAGUGCGCGAACGACGCUCAGGCAAGAUUGAUCGGACUGCGAGAAACCCACACCCCAGCGGCUACGGUGCCUUUGCUCAUCGGCGCUUCCCGACGCGCCUGACUCGCACUCUGAACUUUCGAAACCCAAAAAACAGAAAGAGGAUUGAAAACUUUUUCGAAAAAAUUGCAUAAACAAAGAGGCCUCUGUGGCCAUCACAAUGGCAAGUUCAGAGUUACUUAAUUCUUUACAUAUUUUUGGGCAUCUUUGCCCGAUACAGCUAACUCUCAUCACGGGUGCUCUAGCGGGAUGGCUUCGUCCUCCAAGAGCUACGCCAAGGCCUCUGCGGGAGCAAGCACCCACGCGUCAAUCUCGUCCAGCUCAGCCUCGGUAUAGCUUGAGGCGUACCCCCUGCUCAUCGCGUCGAAGUUGAGGCGGUUGUAGUAGGAUCCAAAGACGCCGAAGGCCCGCCUCACGCCAAUGUGGAGCACUUCAUGGGCGAUUUCGCGCGCCCACCGGUACGUCCCGAGGACACGAGCUGCCAGCAAGCUAGUCCCCUCCUCUUGGACCACCCCAAGGUCUUCGUAGAUGAUGCGGACGGCGUCCUGCAGGUUGGCAUGCUUGGUGCGCUCCGCAUCGGUGAUGUUCCUCAACCGUGCAAGGUCGCUCUCAUGACCUAUCCAAAAAAGCCCACAAAGUCAGAAACCAGCGCAACGCUGCAAACAAAGAAAAGAGGACAACGAAGUCCUUACCAUCAGAUUGGGCUCGUAGCAGACGUUCCUGGUCGACUCUUUGGGAUACAGCGGUCUGAAGACCCUGCACCUGCGACUGGAGCCGAUUGACCUCCUCGCUCAAGUCGGCCGCCAUCGUUUCGGCCCCAGCCUUCUGGCCCACCUCGCGAUCGCGAUCUCGGCUGGCCGUAUCAUGCUCCUGCUGAGCGGUGUGCCUCUCGUGCCGGAUGCACUCGACAGCCUUCUGAAGAGCUUCAUGCUCCUUCUUCAACCGGGCGAGCUCCUCGGCGUCACGACGGGCCUUCUCGGUGAUGACCCGGAGCUUGUCCUCCGCCCUUCACGCGCCUCCUUCUCCCGCGCUUCCAGGGCAGCGGCGUUCUGGUGUGCGGCGGCAAGCCACCCGGCCAGCUCCCCGCUCCGCCACUCCUCCCUGGAGAGGCGUUCCCAGACCCCCCGCUCACGCCGGAGGAACUCAGACUUCCCCCGGCUGCAGUCCUGAAGGGCCUGCAGAAUGAUUUGCGCUUAGAAAUCGUUUGAAAAAGGGACGGAAGAAGGAAAAAGAUAACCGCCAAAGAGAACACCAUACCUGGCUGGCGGGAGCGACGACGCCGUCCAACUUCCCCAUCGCGGAGGACAGGGCGGCACGGGCAUCUGCGAGCCUGCCCUGCACGUCCGACCAGCUCGCCGACAUCAUCCAAGACAAAGAGGGGCAUGUGCGGGUCUCCACUGGAGAACCAGCGCACGGUCGCCCCCCCCCCACGUGUUGGGGUCGUGUCCAACUUGGACGAGGGCGCCGGAAGACUCUCCGAUCGGUGCCAGCGGCUCGUUGACCGACGCCGACAGUCCUCCCGGAGUAGGCGCCGCCGUCUCCACCACCACCCUCGGAACAGGUGCCGCCGUCUUCGUCGCCGAUGCCGGGGCAGGCGCCACCAUCUCCGUCGCCGCCGCCGGGGCAUGCGCCACCGUCUCCACCACCACCGUUGUCACCACCGCCGUCGCCGGUGUCUCCACGAUCGGCGCCUCAGGCGUGGGCACCUCCCCCGCCGGCUCUUCCUCCUCCUCAAGGACUAUCACCUCGGUGUGCGGAGGAACCCCAAGGGCAGCAUCCUAUCCCACUGGGUCGGCUAUGGGGGCAGAAGAUGAGGCUUGGGCUGGCGCUUGCGCUACGCCCAACUGUGGCACCCCCUCUUCAGCUACCACCUUGGAGGCCGCCUCCACGCAGGGCACCACGGCCUCACCGACGACGCCGCCGCUCGCUCCCGGUGGGGUCACGGCUGGCCCCGCAGAAGUGGCCGACGAUCGGAGUGCCUUCUUUUGCGCCAGCAGCGGGUUGAAGCCACACGGAGCGGCACUGCAAAACAACGACGACUUCAUCAAACGCAAGAAUCAGCUCGACACCAGAAAAGAAUAAGGUACAUGGGAACUUUCCACUUACCUUGCUGCAGUACGAGGGCGGCAGGCGCGCUUCACCCCCGAGCUCAACGCCGACCCCGAGACAUCCGAUAGCGGCCGCUUGCCGCUACCCCUCUACUUGUGCAACGCAGGUAGAGGGUCGGGGGUCGGUCCCAUUGACUCCUAAGCAUGCCGCUCGCCGACCCUGAAGUGCAGCCUCCGAGCCCCGCGGGGUCGGGCCCUGGGCGGGCGGUUCACUCGACCUAUCCCUCGUGGCCGGUUGAGGAGGCUGGUCCCGGAUGACGAACGCAUCCGGCAUGAAGGCCGGGACAUAACCUUCCUCAUCCUCCUCCUCGGUCUCAUCUUCAUCAUCCUCAUCGUCAUCAUCGUCAUCGUUGUCCAUCCCGACCGCGCCCCUCCGCAGCCUUCAAAACUCCACCGCGGCUUUCUUCAUCUUCCUCGCCGUCUCCUUGUCUUUCCUUUUCUUCUAUGCUUCGGCAAGGAGGCGGUUCCGCUGCCUCUGCACCGCGUCCUCUGGCACCAGUGGACAGGAGGCUGCGACAUGGUUUAAGUUACCCUGCAGAUUCAAAGACUCCGUAUCAGAACAGCAAACCAGGAAAUGCAGGAAAGAAGAACGAGAGUGCGAAUUUCUCACCAGCAGGGCGUAGCCCUUGUCCGGGCGCAUCGGAGGGUGACCCAGCACCGGGAACACGACAUCCCUGUCGUCCAACGCGUCCUGGAUGCACUACUCGAUCUCGGCGUUGGCAAUCGCCCCCGUCACAAGGACGGUGCCAUCGGUCGUUGCCCCGGGAACCAUCUCGUCGAGCGAGCGGGCCCGCAGCAUCAAUGGCGCCACCCUCAGGGCGUGGUAUGCCCCAACAACUCCGGCCCCGAUCAGGCUCUCCUCCUUCAGACGAAUGAUGGCUUCAAGGAGACCCCGGAUAUUCUUCUUCUCCUUCUCAACAGGGCCAUACAUCCACGUUCCUGGUGCCUCCACGAUGACAUGGCCGGUGAACUCCAGCAAGGGGACGUCGGGACGGUUCUUCACAUAGAACCAUUGCUGAUGCCACCCCUUGUGGGACGACGAGGUCUUCAUCGACAUAUACUCGUUGGACCAGUGCCCGUGGAGGUGGAUGCCGGCGCACCCCAUCAGCACCGGAAUUGUCCGUGUCUGGUCUCCUCUCUUCUCGGUCCUCUGAUGAAGAGUGACCAUGAAGAAAUACUUCCAGAGGGCAAAGUUGGGCUCGAUCCCCAGGUAUCCCUCGCACAGCGCGACGAACGCCGUGAUGUGCUGGAUUCCGUUGGGGUUGAGGUGCUGCAGCUCGAUGCCAUGAUAGUACAACAGCCCCCGGAAGAAGCGACUCAAGGGAACCACGAACCCCCUCUCACGGAAGUGCGCGAAGGAGACGACAUACCCAUGCUCCGGUUGCGGCACGGCCUUGUUCCCGGAAUACUGUCACUCAUUCUCGACGGUCCUAUCAUGAAGAAGGCCCUUCUUCACAAGGCCAGUCGUGCGCGCGGUGUUGAAGGUUGACCGAGACCACGAAUCCAUCGCUGAGGAAGGGGAAGGCUUGACGGUGGUGGUGGAAAGGUGACUGCCCUGCUCGAAAAAGGACGAAAAGUGGACAAGGAGGCGAAAAAGGCUGAAGACGAACGCAGAUCGGAGCCAGUGAGGUAAGCUCUCUCAUUUUAUAGGGGGCGCGCGGGAAGCGAAAGGGCAAUCCGAUCACAGUUAUUGCGACACCAGGUACACCCGUCACCUCCGCUUUUUCGGAAACCGUGCGCACGAUCUCUUCCAACUGCAGGGAACGUCUCCCCUCCUCGUUUCGCGGGCCCGGUGUUUUCCACCGCUUCACCUCCCAGAGGAUGCACGCGCACGACUUCCUCCAGGUACGGCCCGGGGCCCACCAACAAGUAAAAAAGGGAUACGGAGCUGAAAACGCUCCUACGGUCCAGAGGUUCGAAGGCUGGCCCAACACAGGGUUCGACAGUCACCCCAGGACACUCCCGAGCAAGGGGUGAGAAGGGACGGCUCUGCUAGCGGCCACCACCCAGGCGAGCGAAAGCCAAGGGCGACCCGACCUCACGUUCGAGUCCGGUUUGCUGUUUAAGUUCAUGGUUUUUCCCUGAAGAAAGGCAAGGAGCCCCUGGAUCCCAUCGAACGGAUCCAGGAACUAUAUGAACUAGCCAUCCGGAAUCUGGAGUACGCCACCAGCUUGGCCUGAGUCGGACCCCCCCGAACGGGGACCAGGACUCCACUCAAACUAACCCAUUCAUAGCUCAACGGGCACCAUAGUUCGUCCAACGAGGAUAACGUGGCACGGCUCACCCCCUCCGUCCCAACGAACGGACGCUUGAGGGGUAACGAUCAAAAGUCGAUCCGACCUCUCGAUCGGUCCCCUGCAACGCACGGGGGCUGGAAUCGCAACCAACGACCACGCAUGUGGUCACAAUUUGGAGUCUUGGAGCAGGAGUGGUCGUCGGAACGAUAGGGAAUCUUCCCGAGCCGAGCCAUCCUCGGAACACCCUGCCUACCCAAACUCCCCGGCCAGGCGAAACGAGCGAAGCUUUUCCUCCUUAAUCACAUGCAGGUUGCAGGACAAACAAAGAUCCUUGACGAACAACAAACACAGCCUCUGGAGGAGCAUGUUUGCUCCACCAAUGGCUCGGGUGCUACUAUCGGGGAGAAAUAUUAACGACUUCCUUAUAUUCCUUAAACGACAGUCAUAAGGGCCCGAGCCCACCUCCAGCAAUAGUGACCUCCACCUUGCCCGACCCCCUGAGGCCACUCCUCAUCCCAGCCAAGAGAGUUCCGCCUCGCCCGACCCCUGGGCGAGAGUCCGACCCCUCACAGCAGGUCUCCACCUCACCCGACUCUGGGCGCAAGGGGUCGGACGCACCCGAUCCCUCGUCGCAAGUCUCCGCCUUGCCCGACCCCGGGCGCAAGGGGUCAGACGCGCUCAACCCCUUGUCGUAAGGCUCCACCUCGCCCGACCCCGGGCGCAAGGGGUCGGACGCGCCCGAUCCCUCAUCGCCCGACCCCGAGGGCUAAGGGUUGGACAUAUCCGGACCCACAGGAUAGAGCUUCGCCUCGCCCAAGGACAUGCGUGGACUAGCAGAUGAGGGCGCAGAUCUUGUGGGCCCCUACCGAUCUCGCCAUAAAUGCAACCGAUGGGACGCCCAUGUCCAGAAUACGGCUCUGACACAUGGAGAGGCGCCCACGUUCCUCGACGUGACCCACCCGAGUUUUCGAGCGGCGCACUGCUGCCACGACUGCACAGGGCUACAGCUGCACCAUCCUAACCCUCCCCUGUGACAUUCAUCAUAGGAUACUCAUCGCCCAUGCUGGCUAAUGAAGGAGGGUGCGCCGCCCGAUUUCCUGCUCGUCCUGGCGGUAGGGGCAUGUCAGUCGCACCCCCCGGUCAGCAUGCGGGGCUACAGUGGUCACCCAUCAUCCAUGACAUGCAUGGCUAUGGUGGCCAGUCAUCAUCAUCAACUCGCACAGCUACAGUGGUCGGUCACCAUGCACGUCUCACGUGUUCGACUGAAGUGGCCGACCGCUAGGUCAUCGAUGGGACCAAACGGCAACCACCCCUCCUCGGUGGCCAUGCUGACGAGACGCACAAAUCAAAAGGGAAGGCAGUAACCCUGGUGGCUCGGCCCAUCUCCCUAUGCUUUGCCUUCCUUUCUUACCUUUCUACCUUUUUACUUUCCUUACGCCCGGCUCAUUUGUAACCCCUGUAUCCUCGUUGCACUAUAAAAGGAGACCAGGGGGCCUGACGGCUCUCGAGUGAACCGAACGACCCCCAAUUCACAACCCUUCCACACGAGCAUCAGUACACACCCACAGAGACUUGGGACCAGCUUCCUUCUCUCGCCCAUUUGUAACCCCUACUACAAACUUGGCACGAGUAACACGAGCAGCCUCCCACACUGGACGUAGGGCUAUUCCUGCCCGAACCAGUAUAAAUUUUGUGUCCUCUCGUGCAACCAUCCAGGCCUUACGCGCAUAGAAAACAAAUUUACUUGCCGUGGUCUUGACCCGUGAUUCUUGACACCGACAGCUAGAUUGUAUUGUUAACAAUUGAAUUCAUGCUUGUUUAUUUUAUCGUACAAUUAGUUAUCUCUUCAUUGUUUGCAUGUUUGGGUAUGGUGUAUAGCUAGAUUCAGUAGCUUUGAAACUUGUUUUGUAGGUCUACUCUGCCUUGUCGUUCCACUUAAGAAACCUCUAACUAGCAUGUUAGGAUUUUUGUUCAUGACCAAAUCUGACUUUGGCCUUAUGCCCCUUUAAUCAUGCUAAAACAAUUGUAUAAAAAGGAAAACUAGGAAAUCACUUUUGCUAGUCUGCAUGCUUGAUUGAAAUCCUUAGUCAAAUAGUCAUACCUCACAGUGUCAUGAGACUAGUCCUGUGUUUCCCAAAAACUUGUUUCUUUAUGUUAGAUUUAUGCUUGGUCUUGUAGAGGUGGUUUACUUUUUCCUACAAAACUCAUAGGCAUAUCUAACUUAGUGUGUGCUUAGCUAAUUGUGAAACCAAAUCCUGAUUUUGUUUUUAUGCUUGUCCUGUCUUUUUAAAAAAAUAAUACCAAACAUGUUAUCUCAGGAUUUUCUUGGUAUUCAGUUUGUGUUCUUUUGCAACAUAUAGAUCAUUGUUGUUGUUUGAUUUCUAACUUCUUGCACUAGACAUCCUCCCAUGUUUCAUGCAUUCAUGAGCAUUUUCACUCAUAGCAUCAUCUCUAAUGUAUGCACACAUUUCUUUUAGAGAGAAAAUUUGCCAGAGAAUGGAACCUUUCAGACCAAAGUCGAGGCCAGCAUAAAAGUUGAUUUUGAGCCCGAAGAAAACCAAGGCAAGCGACUAAGCAUGUUUGUCGCCUACUUUUGAAAUGAAGUUGUUACUGUUGGUUGCAUGUGGGUGAUAAUAACUUAAUCUUGCAACUUGCUUAGUCAUGCUUAGUCAUAAAAUGAUCACUUAGUAAAAGAAACAGUCAUAGGUUAAUCAACACCUUUACUAAUAAGGUUCUUUAAGUUGUUUAAAAAUUUAGAAAUAGGAUAACUUUCCAAAUAAGUGUUAAGCAACCCUAAAGCGACCCACCCUUCUUUUGUGAAGUUUAAAUGAUUUGAACUUUAGAUGUGUACACAAUCACCAUCAAAGUCAACUCCAAGUUUUAAAUCGCAACACAUCUUACUUGACAAGAAAAUAAAUGGUUAUAACCUUGUCCAAGUGAAUGUGGUCAAAAUGCACCCUAAGCUUUUACAACAUUAAUGAAAUGCAACCUACACAUAAAAGCUUGUUUUGAAAUCUUGCAUUUGCAUCUCAUGUAGAAGCUAACUUCGCUGAUGGAAUGUAUGAGCUCGGCGUAGAAUGCGAAGCAGGAGGGUGUCUGCUGAGCUGAACAUAAUCAAGGCCCGAACCAAAAUUGGAAGAGCCCAAGGCUGAGUUAGGGCAAGAAGGCAAGCCCCAAAGCAUAACCCAAUUUUCUAAAUUUAUGCACUACUUAUGUUACUUAUGUUUGUCCAUUUAAGUUCACAGGAGUUGCUUGAAACCCUAGUUGCAUGAUUCUAGGCACUGAUGUGCUGAAUACUAGUAUGUUAAGACGAGUAGUUGCAAUGCUAAAUAGGGACUCCGUAAAAGUCGAGUGAUUUCCUGUCACUCACGAGCUAUAAGAGUUGCUUAUUUACUUAUGUUGGAAUAAUAAGGAUUGACUGGCGGGGUGAGCAAUUGGUCUAAAUUGGUUGACUGCCCUGUUUGUCUAGAAGAAAGCUGCUAAGGUUGUAAUGUGUCGGCGUUCGUGGUCAAGUGUUUAAAAGUACUAAUCUCAUACCUAGUAUGGGAUACGGUAGCCUAGUACCUGAUUCAAAACUUGGUUCCCCUGCUGCAGCAUGUGGAUACAAGGGUAGUCACGAUACAGUGUCGUCGGGAUCGUGGGGCAUUGUAUACCAAGGGAAGUGGGCCCGACCAUGUGCUCAGGGAUUGAUGGGGAUGGCUAACAAAUGAAGCGAACCCGUCAUGGUACGCGGAUGUCGUGGGGUUAGGUUCACCUUGCAAAGUUUAAAAACUCGAUUCGAAUCAUCUGCCUCUUACAGUUUGAGACUGCUUGAUCACUGUGCUGCACUGAGUAAGAAGUGAAACAAAGAAUGAUGAAUAAUACUAAUGCUUGAUUAAAUUGUUUGUUCAACAUGCUUGCUUAGAACCUGCUCCUAAACCUUGAAAGUAAGGACCUACUUUAGAAGAUUUUGGCAAAACAAAAUCCUCAACCAAAAGCCUUGCAUGUUUAGGAGUCGGUGGAUUAGAUACCACCUAACGGUAAGCCUUGUUGAGUAUUAGUAUACUCAGCCUUGCUUGGGGCUAUAGUUUUCAGGUUUUGUUGUUGAGUUGGUUGUUAGUGUGCCUUGGCUGUCCCAACUCCCUUCGGGUUGGACUGUUGAGUGGGACCCGUCCUCAACCGGCGAGGAUCGUGGUGUUUGAUUGUUUGGAUACGAGGUAGGCUACGCUAGUGCAAAAAAAAAAUUUCUACCAUGUAAACCAGGAAAACUGCCGUACAUGGAUCACGGGAUUACCACUCGACGCACUGGUGUAGAAGAUGUAGAAUCACGUCGGGGCAGCGAACUCGAUCAGCUUAGUCGAACACGUAGUUGAUCACGUCGACGUCGAGCAGUUCCUCAGCAGCUCGUCCACGUAUCGCGAGGUCCUCCUCGUGCCGCAGCUUGUCGUCAGCUCGUCGUGGCUCGUUAUCGGCUCGUCGUGGCUCGUUGGCGGCUCAUCCAAGUGCGGCAGGUGCAACACCUGCAAGGUAUCCACACGUGUAGGGAGGAAGUGUCGCAAGCCGGACUGCUAGGUCCGCGAGUUGCAACAGGCGAGGGUGUGGAAGGCACGGCAGCUGUGGUUCGGCCAAAAGGAUUGAAACCCUAGGGCAUCCCACCCCUCUAUUUAUAGAGGUUCCUGAUGGGCCUCUGGGUUUGAGGCCCAUUAGUACUCCUAAACCUGAUCCAAUUCGGAUCACAUCCGAAUUGGGCUUCCAACCCCUUAAGUGUGCGACCCUAUAGGUUCGGAUACGUAUAGACAUGGCCCGAGUACUCCUACUCAGCCCAAUAGUCGGUAGCGGCCUCUAGCAAGACGUGUCAACUCCCAUACACACACGAAGAUCAUAUCAGACGAACCAUCACAACAUCAUGUACAUGCUAUUCCCUUUGCCUCACGAUAUUUGGUCUAGCUUCAAGCCGACCGCUCUUUCUCGAUCCUGUGAUUCGGAAUCCCUUUGUAGGUUAACUCUUAACCAUACGUAGCAUGGCCAUGCAUUUUUAGAUCCGAUCACUCGAGGGGCCCAGAGAUAUCACUCUCAAUCAAAGUGGGGCAAAUCCCAUCUUGAUUGACCAUGCCUCUUAGCAUGCUUCUUGACAAACCCGAAAGCUACCUUUUUAACUACCCUGUUACAGUGUAGCGCUUGAUAGCCCCUAAGUAAGUCGAUCCACAUCUUGAGUACAUGUGACAAUCUCAGGUCUAAGGACAAAGUGUACAUGUUGUGUAAAGAGAGAACUACUUCUCGUGUUGGGUCAGUGCUAGCACAUGUCUCUACACAUGCCCACAUUAUUAGUUUGACACCUUCAUGUCCAUGACUUGUGAAACAUAGUCAUCAACUAAUACAUGUGCUAGUCUAAUAUUCAUGUGUGUCCUCACAUGAACUCCAACUAGGGACAACUUUUAGAAUAACCAUACAAGUAAAGAGUUCCACAUACAAUUCACACAAUUGCAGAUCAAUUCAAGUAGCCUUUAAUGGAUAUUCAAUGAACACUAUAAAUCAUGAAUACAAAUGGAAUAUCAUCAUCUCUAUGAUUGCCUCUAGAGCAUAUCUCCAACAGUCUCCCACUUGCACUAGAGUCAAUCUAGAUGGUAUCUAAUACCCAUAGCUCUUACAUGCGCAUCAUGUUUAGCCUACGGGAGAGGCUUUCUCAAAGGAUCGGAAAUAUUCAGAUCCGUGUGUAUUUUGCAUAUAUUGACCUCACCCCGGUUAACAAAGUCUCGAAUGAGAUGAAAUCGCCGCAUAACGUGUUUGUUCUUCUGGAGAUUCAAUGGGCUGGAUGCAUUCGGGAACACACCAAGCUCAAUAAGGAAAUUCCUUAUCCAAACACCCUCCUUCGCGGCUUCCGAAGCCGCGAUGUAUUCGGCUUCUGUCAUAGAAUUGGCCACCGUCUCCUGCUUGGAACUCUUCCAACUAACAGCACCACCGUUUAGCAUGAACACAAAUCCUGAUUGUGACUUUGAAUCGUCUCUGUUGGUUUGGAAACUAGCAUCGGUGUAACCUGUUACAACGAGCUCCUCCUCACCUCCAUAGACGAGGAACAUGUCUUUAGUCCUUCUUAAGUACUUAAGAAUGUUUUUCACCGCUAUCCAGUGACUCUCACCCAGAUCAGACUGGUGUUUGCUUGUCAUACUUAGCGCAUAUGAAACAUCUGGGUGAGUACUUAUCAUUGCAUACAUGAUAGAUCCAAUAGCCGAAGAAUAUGACACUCAACUCAUGCUAUCCCGCUCAUCAGCAGUCGAAGGACACUGAGUCUUGCUGAGAUGUAUGCCAUGUGACACAGGCAAGAACCCUUUCUUCACCUCUUCCAUGUUGAACCGCUUCAACACUUUGUCAAUGUCAGUAUCUUGGCUUAAUCCUAUAAGCCUUCUCGAUCUAUCUCUAGAGAUCUUAAUGCCCAGAAUAUAUACCGCUUCCCCUAAGUCCUUCAUCGAAAAACUAUUUUUCAGUGAAGUCUUAACGACUCAAGCAUAGGAAUGUUAUUUCCAAUCAGCAAUAUGUCAUCCACAUAUAAAAUUAGAAAUACUACAGAGCUCCCACUUUCUUUCUUGUAAACACAAGACUCUUCUUCAUUCUUGGUGAAGCCAAAGCCUUUGACCACUUCACCAAAAUGAAUGUUCCAACUUCUAGAUGCCUGCUUCAAUCCAUAAAUGGAUCUCUAAAGCUUGCAUACCUUCCCAGCAUUUUUCAGAUCGACAAAACCCUUGGGUUAUAUCAUAUACACAUCCUUAGUUAGGUUUCCAUUCAGGAAAGCUGUCUUGACAUCCAUCUGCCAUAUCUCAUAAUCGAAAUAUGCAGCUAUAGCUAGAAUAAUCCGAAUGGACUUAAGCAUCACUACGAGCGAGAAGGUCUCAUCGUAGUCAACUCCUUGAACUUGUCGAAAACCUUUUGCGACAUGUCGUGCUUUAUAGAUGUGAACAUUUCCAUCCAUGUCCUUUUUCUUCUUAUAGAUCCACUUGCACUCUAUGGCUUUAACACCAUCAGGCGUGUCAACCAAGUUCCAAACUUGAUUGUCCCCCAUGGACUCUAUUUUGGAUUGCAUGGUACUCUACCAUUUUUCGGAGUCUGGGUCCAUCAUUGCUUCUACAUAUGUCGCGGGCUCAUCAUUGUCCAACAAUAAUAUUUCCCGCAUUUCGCGGAGCCUUGCCGACCUUCGUGGUUGUGGCGGUGCUUCUCUUGACAUGGGUAUCUCAACUUGUUCUGCUAUGUUAGCAUCACUCGUAGAUUCUUGCCCGUUCAGCUCAUCUCGAACUUCUUCAAGAUGCACUGUCUUUCCACUUUUUCUCCUUUGAGAAACUCUUUUUCUAGGAAAACCCCGUUCCGAGCGACAAACACUUUGCCCUCUGACCGGUUGUAGAAAUAAUAUCCAAAGUUUCCUUUGGAUAUCCCAUGAAAAUGCACUUAUCUGACUUGGGUGUGAUCUUGUUCGACUCAAGUCGCUUGACAAACACUUCACAUCCCCAAAUCUUUAGAAAAGACAAACUGGGAGUCUUUCCAGUCCACAUCUCAUAUGGUGUCUUAACCACAGAUUUAGACGGUACCCUAUUAAGUGAAAGCUGUUGUUUCUAGAGCGUAUCCCCAAAAUGAUAAUGGUAGGUCCAACUAGCUCAUCAUUGAUCGAACCAUGACCAACAAAGUUCAAUUACAUCGCUCAGAUACACCAUUUCUCUGAGGUGUUCCAGCGGCGUAAGCUGUGGAACAAUUCUGCAACUCUUCAGAUGAUUGCUAAAUUCGUGGCUCAAAUACUCGCCUCCAUGAUCAGAUCGCAAGGCCUUAAUUUUCUUGCCACGCUGAUUUUCUACUUCAUUCUAAAAUUCCUUGAACUUUUCAAAGGUUUCAGACUUGUGCCUCAUCAAUUAGACAUAGCCAUAUCUACUAAAAUCAUCAGUAAAAGUUAUGAAGUAUUGGUACCCUCCUCUGGCUGUCGUGCUCAUUGGUCCGCAUAUAUCGGUAUGUACGAGUUCCAACAAGUCUAAUGCUUUCUCAGGAAAACCUGUGAAAGGUGCCUUGGUCAUCAUGCCUAGUAAGCAAUCCUCACAUGUCUCGUAUGAUUCAAAAUCAAACGAAGUUAAAAGUCCAUCAAUAUGGAGCUUCUUCAUGCGUUUCUCACUUAUAUGACCCAAACGAUAAUGCCACAUGUAGGUAGUACUCAAAUCAUUAGGCCAAGGCCUUUUAGCACUUAUGUUACAGACAGGUGAACCAUCAAGAUUUAAAACAAACAAUCCAUUCACAAUAGAUGCAAAAGCCAUAAACAUAUCAUUCUUAGAGAUCACACAACCAUUGUUUUCACUUGCAAAUGAAUAACCAUCCUUUAUCAAACAUGAAGGAGACAUAAUGUUUCGACUUAAACUAUGAACAAAAUAACAAUUAUUCAAUUCCAUAAUAAAUCCUGACAGGAGGUGGAGUUGCAUCGUCCCGACGGUCAAUGCAGCACCUCUUGCAUUAUUGCCCACGUGGAAAUCAACUUCUCCCCUUUCAACGCUUCUACUUCUUAUCAUUCCCUGCAUCGAAUUGCAAAUAUGAGCAACCGAUCCGGUAUCAAAUACCCAACAAUUAAUAAUUGUAUCAGCGAGAAAUAUGUUGUCUAUAACAUUAACAACAAGUGUACCUGAGGUGGAAGUACUCUUACUUCCGCCAUUCUUCAACGAAGAUAGGUACUGCUUGCAAUUUCUCUUCCAGUGACCAGGUUCGUGACAAUAAAAGCACUCUUUAUCUGUAGCAGGUCCAGCUUUAGCCUUGGGCGCUGGGUUUGGCUUGGACACUCCAGCCUUGCCCUUCUUCUUCCAAGAACUGCCCUUCUUCUUGAAGCUAGGCUUGUUUUGUAUAGCCAUCACAUGGCUGCUACUAGCGCUUUUCUUAAUGUCAGCCUCUGCUCUUUUAAGCAUGCCACACAGUUCAUUCAGACCCUUCUCCAUCCCAUGCAUAUGGUAAAAGUUCGAGAUGAAGUUCCCAUAGCUAGACGGAAGAGAUUAAAGAGUGAAAUCAGUGGCCAACUCUUGGCCCAGUGGGAAGCCUAGCUUCUCCAACCGUUGAGUGUAACCAACUAUCUUGAUUACGUGGGGUCCUACUGCUGCGCCUUCUGCUAGCUUGCUCUCCACAAAGGCCUUAGACACAUUGAACCUUUCAGUCCUGGCCUGUGUUUCAAACAUGUCUCUAAGUGCCACGAUCAUAUCGUGCGCCUCAUGGUUUGUUUCGAACUGCAUCUGCAGUUCGGGUUCCAUGCAAGCAAGCAUAAGGUUACUUCAAGGUUAGCAUCACAUGCUUUCUCGUAAGCAUUCUUAACAGCAGCAGACGCAUCAUCAGCAGGUUCUUCUAGUAAUGGGGUGUCUAGAACAUCUUUCUUUUUCUCAGCUCUGAGAACGAUUCUCAGGUUACGGAUCCAAUCCGAGUUAUUUGUUCCAUUCAACUUGUCCUUCUCAAGGACCGAACGCAAAACAAACGAUGUGGUGUUGCUAGGUGCCAUCUACAACAAAAUAAUAAUGCAAAAUACUAAGACAAACGUAUCCAUGACAGAGUAAAUCACAUUAAACUAUUUAACAGAAUCUACUCCCACUAAAAUCAAUAUCCCUCUAUUGAUACUUAGUGAUUCAGGAUCCACAACUAACAAGUCUACUAGUGAGCUUUAGCAUCACCGCUAGCAAACAAGGUAGAUCGGUAAGCAACUUCUUGUUAAUCAUAUCACAUAUGACUCCUGUUGUUGGAUGACAUCUCCAUGUCUUGGUGCCCAACCUUUAUGCCCCAAGGUCCUUAACCGUUAAGAUAACCUUGUUAAGCAAAUCAACCCUUAUGUGUGUAAGUGUCCGACACAAACCCAUCUAGUCAAGGAAAACUAGUGGCACCCUAAUUUCAUAGACCUACCACCAAUUGUACAAGACAUGGGAUGGUGCAAGUUUUAGUUGGGAGGGCAUACAAACUUAAACUUUGCGAGGGAAGUAAAACAUGCUAUUUUCUUAUGCAGGAAGUAAAACAUAAAGAAUAGCAUUCACACAGUUGUGACACAGUAUGGCCCAUUUUCUUAUGGUGAUCUCCAUCUCCAUAGAACCUGUUCACCAUGGUGAUCUCCAUCUCCAUGUUCCAUGUGCGCCAUCCUCCUGGUGAUGAGUCCUCCAAGAACUAGAACAUGCUAUUGCACCUAAUAGCUAGUAAUGAAGAUUACAUAGUUUCUUGGAUUAUCACAGAUUGGUACGCAGACCAUUAAAUACAUUAAAGUGACAACACAUAUGGCUCCAGCCGUGUUGCCGUACGCGUGACACAUAGGUCACGAAUGAGUUACACACAUGCAUCACAUACAGAAGGGGUCAUACCGAUCACAAAAUCAUAACAUCCUGCAAAACGGAGUUAGGCGUUCUAACGUUCCAAACUUCAGAGGCCAAAACUCUAUCUUCCAAAUCGAAUUUGGGAAAUCUGAUUUCACCGAAAAUGGUGAAGCGGUUGAAUUUGAUGUGUAACUUUUUCCGUAGAUCAAUUUUCAUAUAAAAUUCAUGUCUAUCCGAGAUCGUACCAAAAAUUUACGACUGUUUUACUGAAACAUAUGCAUACGGCAAAAAUUCCGACCCGGUAAUAGAUCCAAUCUACUAUUGCGCAUCACAUGCGCCUGGCGUAUGAAUCUGGGUUUCGAUUCGAUCAAUCACAUUGAUCUUCGCUCGCUACAAAUAGCAUUACGUGUAUCACUUAACUCCGAUGGUGGAAAUCCGACCGGUAGGAGUGUGUCGUUACACGAUCAUUGCAGCAAGAACACGAAACCAGGUCAUAGAUCAAUCUGAAAACUUGCAUAUCUCCAUAUGCACACAUCCCGAAUCCAUAACUAAACAGCUAUGGCUCUGAUACCACUAUUGGGAUACGAGGUGGGCUAAGCUAGCGCAAAACAAAAUUUUCUACUACGUAAACUAGAAAAACUGUCAUAUAUGGAUCACGGGAUUACCACUCGACGCACUGGUGCAAAAGAUGUAGAAUCGCAUCGGGGCAGCGAAGUCGAUCAGCGUAGUCGAACACGUUGUCGAUCACGUCGACGUCGAGCAAUUCCUCAGCAACUCGUCCAUGUACCGUGAGGUCCUCCUCGUGCCGCGGCUUGUCGUCGGCUUGUCGUGGCUCAUCAGUGGCUCGUCCAAGUGCUGCAGGUGCAACACCUCCAAGGUAUCCACACGUGCAGGGAGGAAGCAUCGCAAGCCGGACUACUAGGUCCGCGAGUUGCAAUAGGCGAGGGUGUGGGAGGCGCGGCAGCUGUGGUUCGGCCAAAAGGAUUGAAACGCUAGGGUGCCCCACCCCUCUAUUUAUAGAGGUUCCUGACGGGCCUCUGGGUUCGAGGCCCAUUAGUACUCCUAAACCUGAUCCAAUUCGGAUCACAGCAGAAUUGGGCUUCCAACCCCUUAAGUGUGCGACCCUAUAGGUUCGGAUACGUAUAGACAUGGCCCAAGUACUCCUACUCAGCCCAAUAGUCAGUAGCGACCUCGAGCAAGACAUGCCAACUCCCAUACGCACACGAAGAUCAUAUCAGACGAGCCGUCACAACAUCAUAUACAUGCUAUUCCCUUUGCCUCAUGAUAUUUGGUCUAGCUUCAAGCCGGCCGCUCUUUCUCGAUCUUGUGAUUCAGAAUCCCUUUGUAGGUUAACUCUUAACCGUGCAUAACAUGGCCAUGCAUUUUUGGAUCCGAUCACUUGAGGGGACCAGAGAUAUCACUCUUAAUCAAAGAGGGGCAAAUCCCAUCUUUAUUGACCAUGCCUCACACCAUGCUUCUUGACAAACCUAAAAGCUACCUUUUUAACUACCCUGUUACGGUGUAGCGUUUGAUAGCCCAUAAGUAAUUUGAUCCACAUCUUGAGUACAUGCGACAAUCUCAGGUCUAAGGACAAAGCUUACAUGUUGUGUAAAGAGAGAACUACUUCUCGUGUUGGGUCAGUUCUAGCACAUGUCUCUACAUAUGCCCACAUUAUUAGUUUGAGACCUCCAUGUCCAUGACUUCUGAAACAUAGUCAUCAACUAAUACAUGUGCUAGUCUAAUAUUAAUGUGUGUCCUCACAUGAACUCCGACUAGGAACAACUUUUAGAAUAACUAUACAAGUAAAGAGUUCCACAUACAAUUCACACAAUUGCAGAUCAAUUCAUGUAGCCUUUAAUGGAUAUUCAAUGAACACUAUAAAUCAUGGAUACAAAUGGAAUAUCAUAAUCUCUAUGAUUGCCUCUAGAGCAUACCUCCAACAUUGAUAUCAUGGCAGGCUUCACCAUGGUAUUGUGUAUCGACGUUAGACUUAUCAUUGUUUUUCCGCUGCUUUUGAACUCUGAAACUCUAUCUUUAUGCAUUUGAAAAAUUAGUCUGUAAUAACUGAAUGUGGGACCUGUAAUAAUGUAUCUAGAUUGUCAUAAUCUCUGGACUUGUCUUCGUGCAAGUAUGCUUCGUUUCGAUCCGAGACAAGUGGUUUUAUCGGGUGAAACAUGGCGGACUGCCAUUUUAAUUUGAUUAAAGUGUCCAUUCGCGUGUAAGGCCAUAUUGAGUACACUUUAGCCAGGCUAAUUUGGGCAGCCCGAGUGCCACAGCUAGUAUCAGAGCUAGUAUCUGAUGCCACAGCUGGUACCAGAGCUCAAAAGCAUACCUAGAGAGAGCAACAAGCCCUAAACACCUUUUUGAAUAAAACUUGCAAGAAACUUAUUUUGAAAAAGAAUCCAUAAGUUCGUAGUGCUUGUAGUGUUAUUAACAUGUUUACCAUGACUUAAUCAUGUACUUGUUUAAUUGUACGUAAAUUUAUUAUUUAAUAUUUAAUGGUGCUACAAAAAUAGAAAUAUUUAAUAUUUUAACCAUGCAAAAAUUAUUUCUUGUUUAAUAGGGUGAGAUUUGCUUAUAUCAUUGCAAGGAUUUGCUUAUAUCAUUCAAAAAAUCAAGAUGAUCGCGAUGUCAUUUUGCUGAACUAGUUGCUAUCAGGUAUGUAUUCAGAUAUGUUGGACGUAUACAUGGACACUCAGGAUAACAUUUUUUGGAAUUCAUGUUCUUAAUUACUUUCUCAAGUAAAUGCAGACAAGCUUGGCUGCCUCUAUGAGGUCGACUUUGCGAGUUUCUGGGCUCAGGUGGAGGAGGCUGAGGUGUUCAGGGUAAGCACACCGCACUCUAGUACAACUGCGGUGAGAUCAUCAAGUACAUCAAGUACCCGAGGUGAGAUCAUCAAGUACAUCAAGUACCCGAGGCAAGAUCAUCAAGUACAUCAAGUUUCUCCUGUAUCCCAUCAUUCUAGCUGUCAUCCAGAUGAAGAAGGAAUUUCCAAUAUUUACAAAAGAUCAUCCAGAUGAAGAAGGAAUUUCCAAUGUUUACAAAAGGGAAGAAAUGUAUAAAGUAUAAAUAAGAUCUAACCAUUCAUAAUUAAGGGUAAUAUGGUAAUUACAAUAAUUCAUUUGUUGAUAACCAAAAACACAACAUAAUGGUUCAAUUACAUAAUGCAACAUCAUCUAAUGGAAUGUUAAUAACUCUCCUCUUGACGAACGUCCCUUGGUUGUGAUUGCGGCGUAAGUAUGGAGCAUCCUCUUUGGCUAACAGGAUGCUUGGGUCAACCUCGACUGAAAAUGGGAAAGAUCAUCAAACUGAUCAUAAUCUUCUGAAAUGUCAGUCUUGUCCUCAACUACAAUUUUUCUUUUCCCUAGAAGAACUAUGUGGCGCUUUGGCUAGUCAUCUGACUUAUUAGCACCCUUCCUUAUUGGUUUGCUUGACAUGUCCUUCACGUAGAAAACUUGAGUCACGUCAUUGGCUAGGAUGAAUGGUUCUUCUCUGUAUCCAAUCUUGUUGAGGUCCACUAUUGUCAUCCCAUAGUUGUCCUCCAGUAAGUUUCACCCAUUGGCACCAAAACAGAGGAAUUUUCAAAGGUCCAUAGUCAAGUUCCCAUAUCUCCUCAAUGACACCAUAGUAUCUGACUUUUUUUCCCAUUGUCGUCUAUUGCAUCGAUACGAAAACCACUAUUUUGGUUUGUGCUCUUUUGAUCUUGGACUCUAGUGUAAAAUGUGUACCAUUUAUCUCAUAUCCUUGGAAUGUCGAUACUGAGAUAGAUAGACCCCUAGCAAACCAUGCUAGUUGUUCUUCAAUCAUGUCAUCACCCAUCAGUCGUCGCCGCAACCAAGAGGUGGAAGUGUCAAUGUGAUGACGUGUAAUCCAGGCCUCAGUCUUCUCUUGGUUUGAGGACCAUACAUUAGCCCUAUGCUCCUUCAUAUAUGGAGCGACCAGGGAUGAUUGCUGCAGGACUGUGAACUGUGCUUUACGAAAUGUAUCCUCAUCGAUGUCCAUCGGAGCUUUCCUCCCUAAUGUGCCCUUUCCCUUCAGUCUCCCCUCAUAGUGUGAUACAGGGACUCCAAUUGAACUCAGGCUGUCCAUAAAGUCAACACAAAACUCAAUGACCUCCUCUGUUCCAUAUCCCUUUGCGAUGCUUCCUUUCGGAUGGGCACGGUUAUGAACAUACUUUUUCAAAAUUGCCAUAAAUCUCUUGAAAGGGAACAUAUUGUGUAGAAAUACAGGACCGAGGAUAAAAUCUCUUCAACAAGGUGGACUAGAAGGUGGGUCAUGAUAUUAAAGAAGGAAGGUGAAAAGACCAUCUCAAAGCUUACAAGGCAUUGCACCACGUCAUUUUAAAGCUUUAAUAUAUUGUUUGGAUGGAUUGUCUUCUAAGAAAUCAGGUUGAGGAAUGCACAUAGCUUCACGAUUGUCAUUCUCACAUUCUCUGGUAGAAUACCCCUUAGUGCAACAGGCAGUAAUUGUGUCAUCAGGACGUGGCAGUCAUGGAUCUUUAGAUUUAUGAAUUUCUUCUGUUUAAAAUUUAUUAUUGCCUUUAUAUUCGAUGAGUAACCCGAUGGGACCUUGAUACUAUUUGUUGGGGGGAAAUACGACUUCCUUAUAUUCCUUAAACGACAGUCCUAAGAGCCCGGGCCCACCUCCAACAACAGUGAUCUCCGCUGACUCGUCCCGAUCCCUGGCUCACAGGGUCGGGACGCGCCCGACCCCCCAGGGGCCGUUGCUCAUCCCAGCCGAGAGAGCUCCGCCUCGCCCGACCCCGGGCGCAAGGGGUCGGACGCGCCCGACCCCUCGCCGCAAGUCUCCGCCUUACCCGACCCCGGGCGCAACGGGUCGGACGCGCCCGACCCCUCAUCGCAAGGCUCCGUCUCACCCGACCCCGGGUGCUAAGGGUCGGACGUAUCCAGGCCCACAGGACAGAGCUUCGCCUUACCCAAGGACGUGCACGGACCAGCAGACGAGGGCGCAGAUCUUGUGGGCUCCCAUCGAUCUUCCCAUAAAUACAACCGAUGGGACGCUCAUGUCCAGAAUACGGCUCUCACACACGGAGAGGCACCCACGUUCCUCAACGUGACCCGCCGGAGUUUUCGGGCGGCGCACUACUGCCAGGACUGCACAGCGCUACAGCAGCACCAUCCUAACCCUCCCCUAUGACAUGCAUCAUAGGGUACUCAUCGCCCAUGCUGCCUAACGAAGGAGGGUGCGCCGCCCAGUUUCCCGCUCGGCCUGGCGGUAGGGGCGUGUCAGCCGCGCCCCCCGGUCAACACGCGUGGCUACAGUGGUCGCCCAUCAUCCGCGACACGCACAGCUACAAUGGUCGGUCACCAUGCACGUCUCACGCCCUCGGUUACAAUGGCCGAUCGCUGGGUCAUCGAUGGGACCCAACGGCAACCACUCCUCCUGGGUGGACGCAGAAAUCGGAAGGGAAGGCAGCAACCCCGGUGGCUCGGCUCGUCUCCCUGUGCUUUACCUUCCUUUACCUUUUUUAUUUCCUUUACUCCUGGCUCGAUUGUAACUCCUGUGUCCUCCUUGCGCUAUAAAAGGAGGACCAGGGGGCCCCGAGAAAGGGAUGGCUCUCGAGUGAACCGAACGACCCCCAACUCACAACCCUUCCACACGAGCAUCAGUGCACACCCACAGAGACUUGGGACUAGCUUCCCUCUCUCACCCAUUUGUAACCCCUACUACAAACUUGGCACGGGUAACAUGAGCAGCCUCCCACAGCGGAUGUAGGGCUAUUCCUGCCUCAACCAAUAUAAAUUCUGUCUCCUCUCCUGCAACCAUCCGAGCCUUAUGCGCAUAGAAAACAAAUUUACUUGCUGGAGUCUUGACCUGUGAUUCUUGACACCGAUAGUUGGCGCGCCAGGUAGAGGACCUUUGCGCGUACGACGAUCAUCACUGGCUUCGGAUGGCCAACCACGACAUCGGCUUCGCUCCCGGCUCCCACAUCCACUUCGGAAGCCUGGACUUCCUCGCCACGGGAGAGGGAAUCGAGCUGAUUCCUCUCCGCGUCCUGCCCGCUCACUCCGUCACCUCCGACUCCACCGCCGGAACGGUGGUGAGAGGCCGGGCACGCACCAUGGGGCCUCCUUUGGAGGAGCAGCCCUUUGGCCUACGCAAUGCCGCGACGAGUUACGGUCGUCUCCUAGAACGAUCCAUGAUCGUGCCACCCGUGAACAACGAGUUCGUGGGCGUAAUGGAAAAGGCCUCCGACGCUGGUUCCGACAAUGGGAGCCACCACCCCUCGCGUGAGUGCUUCAUGGCCGAUGUGCACUCCGCAGGGUCCAACGACGACGGCAGCGAAGGGAGGUGGCGCACUCCCCCAGCACGCGCCGCAGCUAAAGCCGGAGCCCUCGCCAGGGUCCCGGAGCAGCCUCGGCUGCCGGAGGCGCCCGCAGUGCCCAACCAAAAGGUCGAGCAACCCCGCAAUGAAGGCGGGGCGCAUCAACGGGCAUGCGACGUCCAGCGGUGCAUCUACGAGGACGAGGGUCGCCCUCAACUCUUCACAUGCGCCAACCAGAACAUCAUCACCGUAGCGGCCCUACUCCUACGACUUCCUGAGCCAGUGACGCCCGAGGAGUGACAGGCCCACCAAGAGGUGCGCAACCUGCUUGAGUGCGCCGCAGUCCAGCAGGCCGAGAGCUCCGUGUCCCGGCGACGCGGGCACAACGCUAGGAGGGUAGUGCCCACCGCGCCUCCCGAAAGGCAUAGGGAGUUUGUCCACCAGCCUCCCCCCAGGGGAACUGGGCCGCGCCCGCUCAACGGACCCCACCGCCUGCAGGUGGCGGAGCCCCAUCUGUCCACCAGCACGUUGGUCCCGUCCGCGACGCCCGUGACACCCUAGACGCGGGGAGGCGCUCCCGCGCGGACAAGGAGGACGGAGCAGACCGUGGCUACCACGUACACCGUGGUAGCCGCUACGAUAGCGAAGAAUACUGGAGCCCAAGCCCCGACUUAGCAGGACCCAGGGCUUUCUCCGCGCGCAUCCUGAAUGCGCCGUUCCCAGCACGUUUUAGGCAGCACACCAACAUGGCGAAGUACUCCGGGGAGACAAACCCUGGGCUUUGGCUCAGCGACUAUUGGCUUGCCUGUCAGGCCGGUGGGACGGAUGACGACCUGUUCAUCAUCCGCAACCUCCCUCUGUUCUUAGCCGACUCAGCACGAGCUUCGCUAGAACACCUUCCAUCAGGUCGGAUCCAAAACUGGAAUGACCUAAAGGAAAUCUUUGUAGGGAACUUCCAGGGCACGUAUAUGCACCCCAGAAACUCCUAGGAUCUCCGGAGCUGCCGCCAGUGGUCGGAUGAGCCCCUCCGAGACUACAUCCGGCACUUCUCCAGGAAGCGCACCGAGCUCUCCAACGUCAUCGACGCUGACAUCAUCGGAGCCCUCUUGUCGGGAACCUCCUACAGGCCCCUGGUCCACGAGCUGGGGCACAGGGGCCCACGAACCAUUGAGGAGCUCCUCAACAUCGCCACUAGCUUGACCUCAGGUGAAGAGGCCAUCGGGGCAAUCUUUGAUCGCCCCAAAGGCAAGGCGAAGCAGGAGGAGGAGGUCAACGAGGGCACCUCCAACCGCCAGCAGAAGAAGAAGAACAAGCAACGGCGUGAGGCUCCCGUUGUGGUUGUUGCCGAGCGCAAAUGGGGACAGCCGCCUCCCGAGGGCACCCCCGGCUUCUUCGAUAAGUUUCUUGAGGGACCGUGCCCGAACCAUGAGUUCCCCGUCAAGCAUGCCUACAAGGAUUGCAACCUCAUGAAGAGGUACUUUAUGGGCAAUCCGGUGAAGGGUGACUGGAGACGGAAGCCCGAAGAAGAGAGGAAGGACGUCGGAGAGAAGGAAGACGGCUUCCCCAAUGUGGACGGCUGCUUCAUGAUCUUCGGCGGGCCAGCGGCCUACGACUCCAAGCACUGCCGAAAGCUGGAACGCCGCGAGGUCUACGCGGCCAACCCCGCUACCCCGACCUUCCUCGACUGGUCAAGGUCCGCCAUAACCUUUGACCAGUCCGACCAUCCGGAGCGUGUCCCGCAGCCGGGACCCUACCCCCUCAUCGUCGACCCCAUCAUCAGCACGAAGCGCCUCACCAAGGUGCUCAUGGAUGGAGGCAGCGGCCUUAACAUCCUCUAGGCCAAGGCCCUCGACGCCAUGGGGACCGACCGAUCCCGUCUCCGUCCCAGCAAGGCACCAUUCCAUGGCAUCAUGCUGGGGAAACGGGCAAUGCCCCUCGGGCAGAUCGACCUGCCCGUCACUUUCGGAACUCCUUCCAUCUUCAGGAAGGAGAUCCUCACUUUCGAGGUAGUAGGCUUCCGCGGAACCUACCACGCCAUCUUGGGACGGCCAUGCUACACCAAGUUCAUGGCCAUCCCCAAUUACACCUACCUCAAGCUCAAGAUGUCGGGGCCCAACGGGGUCAUCACCAUCGGUGCAUCUUUCCAAAAGGCGUACGAGUGUGAUGUCGAGUGCUGCGAGUACGCCUCGGCCAUCACUUGCUUGGAGGACCAUGCGGUCCGGCUUGCGGAGGGAACCAAGGACCUGCCCAACUCCAAGCAGUCCUCCACCUCCUUCGAAGCCAUGGAAGGUGUGAAGGAAGUCCCCCUCGACCCCAACUGCUCCGACGGCAGGACGGUGCGGAUAGGCGCUACCCUAUCCCCCAAAUAGGAAAGUGCGCUCGUCGACUUCCUCCGUGCAAACAGCGAUGUUUUUGCGUGGAAACCUUCAGACAUGCCGGGCAUCCCGAGGGAAGUCGCCGAGCACUCCUUGAACAUCAAGGCCGGCUCCAAAUCGGUGAGACAAGGCCUGCACUGCUUUGACGAGGAGAGGCGCAAGGCCAUCGGUGAGGAGCCCCAGAAGCUUUUGGUGGCCAGGUUCAUCAAGGAAGUGUACCACCCCGAGUGGUUAGCCAAUCCUGUUCUUGUAUGAAAGAAGAAUGGGAAAUGGAGAAUGUGUGUUGACUAUACGGGCCUCAACAAAGCGUUCCCAAAGGAUCCGUUUCCUUUGCCACGCAUAGAUCAAAUAGUCGACUCAACCGCAGGGUGCGAAAGCCUUAGCUUCCUCGACACGUAUUCCGGUUACCACCAAAUCGCGAUGCAAGAGUCUGACCAGCUCGCGACCUCUUUCAUCACCCCUUUCGGGCCCUACUGCUAUGUCACGAUGCUGUUCGGCCUUGAAAACACGGGGGCUACAUACCAAUGAUGUAUGCUCAAGUGUUUCAGGGACCUCAUCGGGUGAACCGUUGAGACCUACAUGGACGACAUCGUGGUCAAGUCCAAGAAAGGCGACCAGCUCAUCCCCAACCUUGAGCUGGCCUUCGAAAGGCUGAGAGACAAGCGCAUCAAACUCAACCCCAAAAAAUGCGUUUUCGGGGUCCCAAGGGGCAUGCUACUCGGCUUCGUCGUCUCUGUGCAUGGCAUCAAAGCCAACCCGGAGAAGAUAUAGGCCGUCACCGAUAUGGGGCCGAUCCAAAACCUGAAGGGAGUGUAUUGUGUCACGGGAUGCCUUGUGGCCUUGAGCUGCUUCAUCUCACGACUCGGCGAAUGAGGACUCCCCCUCUACCAACUCCUGAUUCGUGUGGACCACCGAGGCCCAGGAGGCGCUUGACCGGCUAAAGCAAAUCCUGACGAAGGCCGCAAUUUUGGUCCCACCAACCGACAAGGAGCCACUCCUGCUCUACAUUGCGGCGACCACCCAGGUAAUUAGCGCUACUCUAGUGGUGGAGCGAGAGGAGGAGGGACACGCCCUCAAGGUGCAGUGUCCGGUGUACUUCAUCAGUAAGGUCUUGUCCGACUCCAAGGUCCGCUACCCCCAAAUCCAAAAGCUCAUAUAUGCAGUCCUCAUCACGAAGAGGAAGCUGUGCCACUACUUCUCCUCCCACUCGGUGACGGUCGUGUCAUCGUUCCCCCUUGGCAAAGUGAUCCGGAAUCAGGACACCACAGGGCGGAUCGUGAAGUGGGCACUUGAGCUCAUGGACCAGGCCAUCACCUAUGCCCCCCAAACAGCCAUCAAGUCCCAGGUGCUCGCCGACUUUGUCGCGGAGUGGACGGAGGUCCAGACGCCAUCAGCGCCGGAGAAGUAGGAGUACUGGACAAUGUACUUCAACGAGUCUCUGAUGAAAGCUCGCGCUGGAGCGGGCCUAGUCUUCAUCUCCCUCUCAGCAUACGCAUGAGGUACAUGAUCCGCCUCCAUUUUCCCGCGUCCAACAAUGUUUUCGAGUACGAGGCUCUUCUCAAUGGGCUUCGCAUCGCCAUCAAGCUGGGCAUUCGAAGGCUUGACAUCUGAGGCGACUCCCAGUUAGUCGUUGAACAAGUCACGAAGGAGUGGAGCUGCCACGAUCCCAAGAUGGCAGCAUACUGCGACGUGGUCUGCCAGCUCGAGGACAAGUUCGAUGGUCUCGAAUCAACCACGUCGCGAGACGCUUCAAUGAGGCAACUGACGAGCUGGCAAAGGCGGCGUCCGGCCGGGGACCAGUUCCCACCGGUGUCUUUAUCAGCGACCAGCAUAAACCAUCAAUCUGCUAUGAGGAGUCGAAGGAGGUUGGCCACGCACCACCUGUCCCGGACUCGGAGGCCGACCCCUCCGACCCCUAGGUCAUAGAAAUCGACACGAAUCCAGCAGAGAGGCCCGACCCCCCGCCUGACUAGAGGGCCCCGUACCUUGAUUACCUCAUCCGUGAGUUGCUCCCGACCGACAAGACAGAGGCGCGAAGGAUCACCCGCCGUGCCAAAUCCUUCGUCAUCAUCGACCAGGAGAUCUACAAGCGGAGCCAUACUAGCAUCCUGCAGCGCUGCAUCCCGAUGAAGCAAGGAAAAGCGUUACUUCUGGACGUCCACGCCAGAGCCUGAGGCCACCAUGCCGCACCAAGAACCCUCGUCGGGAACGCCUUCCAACAAGGCUUCUACUGGCCGACGGCGGUCACCGACGCCACCCGCGUGGUGCGCACCUGCGAAGGGUGCCAAUUCUUCACGCGACAAACUCAUCUGCCCACCCAGGCACUCCAGACCAUCCCCAUCACGUGGCCCUUUGCGGUCUGGGGUUUGGACCUCGUCGGGCCCUUCAAGAAGGCGCCCGGGGGCUUCACGCACCUCCUCGUGACCAUCGACAAAUUCUCGAAGUGGAUCAAGACUCGACUGAUCACGCAGAUCAAGUCUGAGCAGGCGGUGCAUUUCUUCACCAACAUCAUCCAUCGCUUCGGAAUCCCCAACUCCAUCAUCACGGACAACGGCACGCAGUUCACCAGGAAGAAAUUCCUCAAGUUCUGCGAUGAUCACCACAUCCGAGUGGACUGUUGGCCGUAGCGCAUCCCCGCACGAACGAACAGGUUGAGUGGGCCAAUGACAUGAUACUCCAGGGUCUCAAGCCACAGAUCUUCGAACGCCUCAACAAAUUUGGCGGCCGAUGGGUUGCGAAGCUCCCCGCAGUCCUAUGGAGCUUGAGGACAACCCCCAGUAGGGCAACCGGCUUCACCCCAUUCUUCAUGGUCUAUGGGUCCGAGGCAAUCCUCCCCACCGACCUGGAGUAUGGGUCGUUGAGGGUCAGAGUGUACGACGAAUGAGGGAACCAGGCAUCCCUCGCGGACGCGCAAGACCAGCUCGACGAAGCGCGAGAUGUGGCCCUGCUGCACGCGGCCAAGUACCAGCAAGCUUUGCGACGGUAUCACAACCAUAAGGUACGGGGUCGGACCUUCAACGUCGGUGACUUGGUGCUUCACCUCGUCCAAAGCAACAAGGGUUGGCACAAGUUAACCCCGCCAUGGAUGGGUCCGUUCAUCAUUGCGCAAGUAUUGCGACCAGGCACAUACAAACUAGCGACCCCCGACGGGCAGGUCUUCACCAACGCUUGGAACAUCGAACAGCUAAGAUGUUUCUACCCUUAGCUAUUAUUUCCAAGUUUGUACAUACAUAUUUCCAUCAUCUUUUAGUUUGUGAAAAAGGUGUUGUUUUGAGUUGCCUUCGCUAAAGUUUCGUUCCAUGCUUAGGGAUAUCCAACCCUGGCUCUGCCCCAGGGUCGCAUAUCCCUCGGGGGCUAUCAAGGGCUCUGGCCCAAGACACUUGGCGUCUUCUUAAAACACCAUUUUUUCCAAACCGACCCUCUUCCUAAAUGUUUGGGCGUGAAAAGAAAGGAGUGCGUGAACAACACUCGGGCAAGACCGAUCGGACUGCGAGAAACCUAUGCGCCAGCGGCUACGGUGCCUUUGCUCAUCGGCGCUUUCCAACGCGUCCGAGUCGUGCUCUAAACUUUCCAAACACAAAAAAUAGAAAGAGGAUCGAAAACUUUUCCGAAAAAAGUUGCAUAAACCAAAAAGGCCUCUCCAGCCAUCGCAAAAGCAAGUUCGAAAAUUACUUAACUUAUUUACAUAUUUUUGGGCAACUUGGCCUGAUACAGCUAGCUCGUCCCCGAGUCCUCCGGCGGGAUGGCCUCAUCCUCCAGGAGCUUCGCCAAGGCCUCCGCUGGAUUGAGCACCAACACGUCGAUCUCGUCCCGCUCGGCCAUGGAAUAGCCGGAGGCGUACCCCCAUCUCAUCGCGUCGAAGUUGAUGUUGGAUUAGUGAGAGCCGAAGACGCCAAAGGCACGCCUCAUGCUGAUGUGGAGCGUCUCCCGAGCGAUCUCAAGGGCUCGCCGGUACAUACCGAGGACACGAGCCGCCAGCGUGCUCGUCCCCUCCUCUUGGACCACACUAAGGUCCUCGCAAACGAUGCGGAUGGCGUCCCGCAGGUUGGCGUGCUUGGCAUGCUCCACAUCGGUGGCGUCUCUCAGCCAGGCGAGGUCGCCCUCAAGGCCCGUCCAGAAAAGUCCGCCAAGUCAGAAACCAGAGCAACGCUACAAGCAAGAGAACAACGAAAGCCUUACCCUCAGAUUGGGCCCUCAGCAGACGUUCCCGGUCGACCCCUUGGGAUACAGUGGUCUGAAGCUCCUGCACCUGGGAUUGGAGCCGACUGACCUCCACCCCAAGGUCGGCCGCCAUCUUCUUAGCCUCAGCCUUCCAGCCCGCCUUGAGGUCGCGCUUCUGCCGAGCCGUGUGUCGCUCGUGACGGAUGCGCUUGACGGUUUUCUAAAGGGCCUCAUGCUCCUUCCUCAACUGUGCAAGUUCCUCGGCGUCAUGACGGGCCUUCCCGUGCCUCCGCGGUCCACCGUGUCUCCAUGGCGAAGCACUCCCAGACCCCCUGCUCAUGUCGGAGGAACUUGGACUUUCCCCGGCUGCAUUUCUGGAGGGCCUGCAGAACGAUUUACGCUCACGAAUUGUUUGGAGAAAAAAGGAACGGAGAAAUGAAAGAAAAGACAACCGCCAAAGAGAACACCAUACCCAACCGACGGGAGCGAUGACGCCGUCCAACUUCCCCAUCGCGGAGGACAGGGCAGCACGGACAUCUGCGAGCCCGCCCUGCACGUCCGACCAGCUCGCCAGCUCCCCAACAUCGUCCAGGACGAAGAGGGGCCUCUGCGGGUCUCCACUGGAGAACCAAUGCAUGGUUGCCCCUCCCCCACGCGUUGGGGUCGCGUCCAACCUGGAUGAGGGUGCCGGAAGACUCCCCGACCGACGCUGGCGGCUCGUCGACCGACGCUGACAGUCCUCCCGGAGCGGGCGCCGCCGUCUCCACCACCGCCCCCAGACCAGGCGCCGCCAUCUCCGUCGCCGCCGCAGGGGGAGGCACCGCUGUCUCUGUCGCCGCCACCGUGGCAGGCGCCACCAUCUCCAUCGCCGUCGCUGGGGCAGGCGUCACCGUCACCACCGCUGCCGCCGAGAUAGGCGCCGCCGCCAUCUCCACCGCCGUCGUCACCGUCUCCACGAUCGGCACCUCAGGCGCAGGCACCUCUCUCGCCGGCUCUUCCUCCGCCUCAACAUCUAUCACCUCGGUGCGCGAAGGAACCCCAGGGGUAGCAUCCUGUCCCACUGGGUCGGCUAUGGGGGUAGAAGGCAAGGUGGGGGCCGGCGCUUGCGCUGUGCCCAACUGCGGCACCCCCUCUUCAGCUACCACCUUGGAGGCCGCCUCCGCACAGGGCGCCACGGCCCCACCGACGCCGCCGCCGCUCAUUUCCGGUGGGGUCACAGCUGGCCCCGCGGAACCGGCCGAUGCCCAAAGCGCCUUCUUCAGCGCCAGCGGCAGGACGAAGUCUCGUGGAGCAGCACUGCAAGACGACGACAACUGCAUCAUAAAUAGCUCGACGCCAAGAAAAGAAUUAAGGUACGUGAGAACUUUCCACUUACCUCGCCACGGUACGAGGGCGGCGGGCGCACUUCGCCCCUGAGCUCAACGCUACCGCAUCCGGUAGCGGCCGAUUGCCGCUACCCCUCUGCUCGUGCGGCGUAGGCAAAGGGUCGGGGGUUGGUCCCGUAGAUUCCAGAGGCGCGCCCCUCACCGACCCCUGGGGUGCAGCCUCCGAGCCCCGGGGUUGGGCCCUGGGUGGGUGGUUCGCUCGACCUAUCCCUCGCGGCUGGUUGCGGGGGCUGCUCCUGGAUGACAAGCGCACCCGGCACGAAGGCCGGGACAUAACCCUCCUCCUCCUCCUCCUCGAUCUCGUCUUCAUCAUCCUCAUCGUCAUCAUCAUCGUCGUCGUCCGACACGACCGCACCCCUCCGCCGCCUUUGGAACUCCUUUGCGGCCCUCUUCCUCUUCCUUGCCAUCUCUUUGUCUUUCCUCUUCUUCUGCUUUUUGGCGAGGAGGCGAUUCUGCUGCCGCCGCACUGCGUCCUCCAGCACUGGUGGGCGGGAGGCUACAACCUGGUUCAACUCGCCCUGCAGACUCAAAAAUUCCACGUUAGGAAUGACGAACUAGAAAACAUAGGGAAGAAGAACAAGAGUGCAAAUUUCUCACCAGCGGGACCAAGCCCUCGUCCGGGCGCAUCGGAGGGUGUCUCCGCACCGAGAACACGACAUCCCUAUCGUCCAACGCCUCCCAAACGUGCUGCUCAAUCUUAGCGUUGGCAAGCACACCCGUCGCAAGGACGGUGCCAUCGGUCACCGAGCCGUGAACCAUAUCGCCGAGCGCAUGGGCCCGGAGCAUCAGUGGCGCCACCCUCCGUGCAUGGUACGCCCCGAUAACUCCGGCCCCGAUCAGGCCCUCCUCCUUCAAGCGAUUGAUGGCCUGGAGAAGACCGGCGAUGUUCCUCUUCUCCUUCUUGACCAGACCAUAUUUCCAAUUGUCCAGCGCCUCCGCGAUGACGCGGCCGGUGAACUCCGACAAGGGGGACUCAGAGCAGUUCUUCACGUAGAACCACUUCUGGUGCCACACCUUGUGGGACGGCGCAGUCUUCAUCGCCAUGUACUCCCUGGCGCGGUUCUGGCGGAGAUGGAUGCCGGCGCACCCCAUCGGCACCGGAACCGUCCGCACCUGGAUCCCCCUCUUCUCGAUCUUGUGAUGCAGGGUGACUGCGAAGAAGUAUAACAAGAGCGAGAAGUUGGGCUCAAUCCCCAGGUACCCCUCGCACAGCGCGACGAACGCCGCGAUGUGCUAGAUCCCUCCUGGGGUACCACCACUCAUUCUUGGCGGUCCUCUCGCAGAGGAGGCCCUUCUUCACGAGGCCAGUGGCGCGCGCGGUGUUGAAGUUCGAACGCAACUAGGACUCCAUCGCUAAGGGAAGGGAAGGCUCAACGGCAGGGGUGGAGAAGGCUACUGCGCUGGAGCGAGGGGAGGCAAAAAGUGUGCAAGAAGGCAAGAAAGGCUAUAGACGACUACGGGGCAGAAACCAGCGAGGCGGACUCCCUCAUCUUAUAGGGGGCGCAUGGGAAGAGAAAGGACAACCCAAUCGCAGUUAUUGCGAUGCCAGGUAUGCCUAUCAACUCCAUCUUUCUCGAAACCGUGCGCACGAUCUCUUCCAACCGCACGAAACGUCUCCCCUCCUCGUUUCACGGGCCUGGCAUUUUUCGCUGCUUCACAUCUCGGAUGAUGCACGUGCACGACUUCCUCCACGUACAGCCCAGUGCCCAUCAAUAAGUAAAAAAGAGAUACAGAGCUGAAAACGCCCCUACGGCCCAUUACGGCCCAGGGGUUCAAACGCUGGCCCACCGCAGGGUUCGACAGUCGCCCCAGGACACUCCCGAGCAAGGGGUGAGAAGGGACGGCUCCGCUAGCGGCCACCACCCAGGCGAGCGAAAGCCAAGGGCGUCCCGACCUCAUGUUCUAGUCCGGACUGGCAUUUAAGUUCAUGCUUUUUCCCCAAAGAAAGGCAACGAGCCCCCGGAUCCUAUCGAAUGGAUCCGGGAACUAUAUGAACUGGCCAUCUGGAGUCUGGAGUACGGCACCAGCUUGGCCCGAGCCGGACCUUGCCGAACGGGGAUCGGGACUCCACUCGAACUGACCCGUUCGCAGCUCAACGAGCACCACAGUUCGUCCAACGAGGAUCAUGUGGCACGGCUCACUCCCUCCGUCCCAACGAACGGACGCUUGAGGGGUAGCGAUCAAAAGUCGAUCCAACCUGUCGAUCAGUCUCCUACAACACGCGGGGGCUCGGAGGCUGGCAUCACAACCAAUGACCACGCGUCUGGUCACAAUUUGGAGUCUUGGAGCAGGAGUGGUCGUCGAAAUGAUAGAGAAUCUUAACGAGCCGAGCCAUCCUCGGAACACCCUACCUACCCAAAACUACCUGACCUGGCCAAACGAGAAAAGCUUUUCCUCCCUGAUCAAAUGCAGGUUGCAGGACAAACAAAGAUCCUUGAUGAACAACGAACACAACCUCUGGAGGAGCAUGUUUGCUCCACCAAAGGCUCGGGGGCUACUAUUGGGGGGAAAAAUUAAGACUUCCUUAUAUUCCUUAAACGAUGGUCAUAAGAGCCUGGGCCCACCCCCAGCAAUAGUGACCUCCACCGACUCGUCCCGAUCCCCGAGUCACAGGGUCGGGACGCGCCCGACCCCCCGGGGGCCGUUCCUCAUUCCAGCCGAGAGAGCUCUGCCUCGCCCAACCCCGGGCGCAAGGGGUCGGACACGCCCAACCCCUCACCGCAAGUCUCCGCUUCGCCCGACCCCAGGUGCUAAGGGUUGAACAUAUCCGGGCCCACAGGAUAGAGCUUCGCCUCACCCAAGGACAUUCGCGGACCAGCAGACGAGGGCGUAGAUCUCGUGGCCCCCAUCGAUCUCGCCAUAAAUGCAACCGAUGGGACGUCCAUGUCCAGAAUACGGCUCUAACACACAGAGAGGCGCCCGCAUUCCUCAAUGUGACCCGCCGGAGUUUUCGGGUGGCGCACUACUGCCACGACUGCAUAGGGCUACAGCGGCACCAUCCUAACCCUCCCCUGUGACAUGCGUCAUAGGGUACUCAUCGCCCAUGCUGCCUAACGAAGGAGGAUGCGCCGCCCGGUUUCUCGCUCAGCUUGGCCGUAGGGGCAUGUCAGCCACGCCCCCCGGUCAACACGCGUGGCUACAGUGGUCGCCCAUCAUCCGCAACACACACAGCUACAGUGGUCGGUCACCACGCACGUCUCACGUCCUCGGUUACAGUGGCCGACCGCUGGGUCAUCGAUGGGACCCAACGGCAACCACUCCUCCUGGGUGCACGUAGAAAUCGGAAGGGAAGGCGUCAACCCCGGUGGCUCGGCUCGUCUCCCUAUGCUUUACCUUCCUUUACCUUCUUUAUUUCCUUUACUACUGGCUCGAUUGUAACUCCUGUGUCCUCCUUACACUAUAAAAGGAGGACCAGGGGGCCCCGAGAAAGGGACGGCUCUCGAGCAAAUCGAAAGACCCCCAACUCACAACCCUUCCACACGAGCAUCAGUGCACACCCACAGAGACUUGGGACCAGCUUCCCUCUCUCGCCCGUUUGUAACCCCUACUACAAACUUGGCACGGGUAACACGAGCAACCUCCCACACUGGACGUAGGGCUAUUCCUGCCCGAACCAGUAUAAAUUCCAUGUCCUCUCGUGCAACCAUCCGAGCCUUACACGCAUAGAAAACAAAUUUACUUGCUGGAGUUUUGACCCGUGAUUCUUGACACCAACACUAUUGAAGCACUCAAACCUGCUUUCCUUCUCUUCCUUGCUGACAAUGUAAAUGGUAGGAUGCAAGUAAAUGCCCAUUAACUCUCUUUUCCGGAUGUAGGGCAUCUCAUUGUUUCAUACGUUUCAGGUCCUGACGUGCUUCAAUUGUAUCUUUUGCCUUUCCAUAUGUACCCAGGAAGCCAAGCACGUUCAUGCAAAGAUUUUUCAUGAGGUGCAUCACAUCAAUUGCAUUACGGACCUGAAGCACUUCCUAAUAAGGUAGCUCCCAAAAUAUAGACUUCUUCCACAUGGGUUCAUGUCCGUCCUCAUCGUUCGGAACAGGUUGGCUACCAGAGCCCUUGCCAAAGACUACCCUCACAUCCUUUGUCAUAGAAAAUACAUGUUUACCAUUACGGUGAAUGGGCUUAGUACAUUUUCUUCCUCCCCUUCAAAAUGCCUCCCUUUCUUUCUUAAUGGGUACUUAGCAGGAAAUAAUCAACGAUGGGCUAUAUACACGACCUUGUUACAAUGUUUCAAAUACAUGCUGCAAUUAUCAUCUAAACAGUGCGUGCAGGCUUGGAAUGAUAGAUUCCCAAGUGCUGGCCAAUCAUUGAUGAUUACGAACAAUAAUGCUCGUAGAUUAAAAGUCUCCUUUUUGUUCUCAUCCCACACAUGUACACCUUCUUCCUUCCAUAACAGUAGAAGUUCAUCAGCCAAUGAUUUUAGGUAAACAUCAAUGUCGUUGCCAGGUUAUUUUGGGCCUUGGAUAAUUACCAGCAUCAUAAUGAACUUCCACUUCAUGCACAUCCAUGAUGGAAGGUUGAACAUACACAAGGUCACAGGCCAAGUGCUAUGACCACUGUUGAAAACUUCGAAUGGAUUGAAUCCAUCUGUACUUAAACCAAAUCAUAUGUUCCUUGCAUCCUUUUCAAAAUUGAGAAAUUCUCUAUCAACUGUUCUCCACUGGAACCCAUCAGUGGGGUGUCUGAUCAUUUCAUCUUGCUUACAUUCUUCUUUGUGCCAACGCAUCAACUUUGCAUGUGCUUCGUUUCUAAACAAAUGCUUCAAUCGUGGUACUAUAGGGAAAUACCAUAUUACCUUCGCAGGAACUUUCUUCUUGAUGGCCUCCCCUUCAACAUCACCGAGGUCAUCUCACCUGAUCUUAUAACGCAGUGCUUUGCACACAGGACAAGUCUCCAAUUUCUUGUAUUCCUUACCGCGAUAAAGGAUGCAAUCAUUAGGACAUGCAUGUAUCUUUUGUACCUCCAAACAUAGAGGGCAAACAACCUCUUUUGCUUUGUACGUUGAGGACGACAAUUCAUUCCCCUCGAGAAGUAUUUUCUUGAUGAUUUUCCUUAACUCAUCAAAACCCUUGUCAGAAACUCCAUUUUUUACCUUCCAUUGCAGCAUUUCCAGUGUGAUACCUAACUUUUUUGCCCCUAUUUGCAAUUUAGGUAUAACAAUUUCUUAUGAUCAUCUAACAUACGCUCGAACAGUUUUGACUCCUUCACAUUCUCGUAGUCUUCCUUUGCACCUCGCAAUACCUGACCUAGAUCGUCAAUAGGACCUUCUACCGCGCCCAUCUAUUCUUCAGCAUCGCCCAUUAGAGCAUCUGCAAAGGCACUUCCUUGAAUUCAGUUAGGAAUGUUGUCAUAUUUUUCUUCAUCAUCAUCAUCCAUCAUAACUCCUCUUGCACCGUGCUUGGUUCAAACAAAAUAGUCUUUCUGAAUGAGUAAUACUUCUCAUUUUUGCAAUUUAUGCAUGGACAACAACUGAAAUUGGAAGGCGGUUUGUUCGAUUAUGCCUGAUCGAGAAAACCAUGCAAGCCAUUAAUGUACUCCACGGAAUGUUUGUCUGCAUUGUACAUCCAUUGCCAAUCUAUCUAGAAAAUAUUACCGAACCAAAGAUAUUCUGAUCAUCCAUACAAUUAUAAAUGAAACAUAAAAAAUAUGAAACAAAUAGCAUUAAACUGAAAUGUUGCUGAAAAUUUAGAUAGAAAUAGCAUGAUUUUAUAUAAAUUCUAGCUACUUCAAGAAUUUUUUUUAAGUUAACAUGAUUUUCUACAAUUUCCUAUACAAACUGGUGCAUAUAUUUUAAAGAACAAAAAUGAGCUCUAAAUAACACAUUCAUAUAAACGAAUUAGCUAGAGAAUAUAGAAAAAUUCUUGAAUUAGUGAGAAAUGAACAUUAUUUCCUACAAUUUGAUAAUGUAAUUGCUAAAUUAACAUGAUGUAAUUUUCACUUAUUUUUAUAUAUUUCUAAGAACUAACAUGAUUUUACAUAAAUUCUAGCUGCUUCAAGAUUUUUUUCUAAGUUAACAUGAUUUCCUACAAUUUCCUAUACAAAAUGGUAUACUAUCCAUAUAAAUAACACCUUCAUAUAAAUGAAAAAAUUCUCCAUUGUACCUUAUUCUAAAAAUCACAAAUUACUUUAUCUCUAAAGCAUAAAACUUAGUAUACUCUCCAUGUAUCAAAGGAGGAUGAAGUUUCUAACCUUUAGAACACUUGAAUGAGUGAAAUCCCUAAAAAAUGGUCACAAAUCUGGCAGCACCUCCCCAUAUUUCGCCAUGGAUAGGGUGAAGCUCGAGCUGGAGGAGUUUGCUCGAGCUGGAGUAAGAAGGAAAGGUAUUUAUAGGAUGGAAACUAGUACCGGUUGGGGGGCACCAACCAGUACUAAAUGGGGGGAAAUUAGUACUGUUGGUGCCCAUCCCAGUCAGUUUAUUUUGUAACUUUCCAAUUGGUAUACUUCCAGCAGCCUGUACACACACGUGAAUUAAUUUGUAUUGAUAAACAAUUUCAAAAUUACUCAAGUCACACGGUUGUAUAAACUCAAUUAAUUUCUCUAUCCAGCAAGUCACACAUGUGCAAAAUGGAAUUAUCCAUGAUCCAUAGACAUGGAUCCAUCCACGUCAAUCCCGAAUAAUGCUGCAUCUGUAAUCACUCAUAAAUCAUAUAUCGCAACAAGAACAGAGCAGUGCAAGAAGCUAAUACUAACUCUGAUUCUCUAGUGUUGUAGACCAUACAUCCUCGGACCCACUAGAAGGUCUGUACGGACCCACUCAAGGGGAUGUACUCAAAAUAUAUCAGGACAUGAAGACUAUGCUAUAGGGCAACAUAGACUACAUGGAACUCUCGAAGGGCUAAUCGGAAUACAAGGAAAAUACUCUGCCGAGUUAGAGUAGGAUUCUAUAGUCUUGUCUGACUAAUACUCUUGUACUCAAAGCUACCCUGUAACCCUGCUUCCCGGAUAUAUAAGGGCGGGCAGGGACCCCCUCAAAAUAAGUUCAAUCGAAUUGUACGUAGGACGUAGGGUAUUACGUGAUCUAGCGGUCCGAAGCUAUCUAAAUCGUGUCCCUGCGUCACCAUCGACUCCUUGAUUUCGGCGACACCCACAAACCAAAACACUAUCUCAAGUACUCCCUUGAUAGGUUGCCGGGUUAAAACACCAUAGCUGGCGCGCCAGGUAGGGGCGGUCGCCAAAAUUCUCCGUGAGAGAUCGAUGGCUUCAGUCAUCAUCAAUCCUGCAUUCGUGUUCGAAGCGGGUGCAACGUUUGUUUUUGGCUCUUGGCUCUGCAUCGCUGACAGCAUUGGAAACCUCCAAUGCCGCAUCAUCGAAGAACCGGGGAAGAAUCAUCUCAGAGGAAACUCUCAUCGACAGGAGGAUGAAGAUUUCAUCGAGAAAUUUCAAUUUUUUGAUCUCAACAACACCGGGUUCGACAACAGCUCGGACUCAACUACAACUCGGACUAGUCCACGCGAGCAGGCAAUUCAGCCAUCGUGAGGACUGGAUACAACUUCAAGCCAAUUUCCUCUUGGACUGCAAAACGCGGUCACGAUUCAUCAAAAAACUCCAUCUAAAGUCCAGUCUGGAUUAGAGUCAAUUGAAGACUACAACUCCGACUCAAACUCUUUUGAACAACUCCCCUUAUCAAGUUCCCAACACGGCCUGUUAAUCACAUCAACACCACAAAGUAGAUUUGUCUACUGGCCGGGCAUGAAACCAUCAAUCCUUGCCCAAGACAAUGAAUCACACCUCAUCGCACAUUUGGAUAUCCUCCCAUAUCAAGAGGGUACUCCACUCUCACCGAUCCAUGAAGAAGAUAGCUCCACUGAAGUCAUAACAUCCAGCUCUGGAAGCUACUCUCCGGAUAGAGAACUCUUUGUUGUGGUUUCACCAAUUGAUGGAACAGGAACCAACGAUCACCACCAAAGAACUCCUCAUCGAGAACGCCAAAUGGAAGAAGUCCCCCAAGAUGAAUUAUCAGCUGACGCCCCGGAGGGUGAAACUAGCAGCCAAAGAACUCAAAGAAGAGCAAGAAACAAUCAGAGGGUGGAACGUCGUAGACUUCUAGCCGCAAGAGUUCCCAUUGUGAACCUCAACAGAGCAUUUGAAGUAGUUCAAACAUGAGAACAUAACACACCACUUGUUGCUAUCGCUUCUAUCGACCUUAUCGCCCGAUCAAUGCCUCCAAACAAAUACAACAAUCUUCUAUUAUAUUUGGCAGAAGACGCUUACAAACUCCUUGACAAAGAAAUGCCAAUCCCAUCCGUGCCUCACAACCCAAGUCACCAUGAUGAUAGCAGAGACAAUGCAAGACUCUCAAACCAACAACAUGAUGAACCAAGACAACAUAGGGGCAUACUCGAAGCUCCAAGAUGAAACAGAGACGCAGCUGAGGGUAGUCGCACAGCCUCUGUGGAAGAACCAUGCCACCACAGAGCAAAUCUAUAAUCUUCACACAUCAGUGAUCUUCAAGAAACACUAAAUAACAAUCAUGAUGCUCGAGAUAUAAUCAAAAAUCACCGUCGUGAACGUGAAGCUGAGAGUGAUGACAAUGACCAUUUCCCCACUUUCACAAGACGAAUCAUGCAGACUACUCUCUCAGAGAAAUUCAAACCAAUGGGCAUCACCAAAUAUGUUGGCAAACAAGACCCAGUUCAGUGGCUCUGAUGCCACGCAAUAGCAGUCUAAGUUGCGGGCGGAAGCGAUGAUACAAAAGUCAUUCACUUUCCCAUAUGCAUAGAACCAAUGCCACUAACUUGCCUCGAAUCUUUGAAGCCUAACUCCAUCGACUCAUGGUCUGAUCUAAAGAAAGCUUUUACAAGCAACUAUGUGGGAGCUAUGCAGCGCCCCGGCAACAGAAUUGACUCGGCUCAGAUUAAACAGCAAAAGGAUGAGUCCUUGCGCAGCUACCUACACGCUUUUUCGAUAAAAAAGCUACAAUUGUCGACAUUUCAGAGGCAGAUGUGAUUGAAUGUUUUCAAAACAAUCUCUGGGACUGCCGCAUGUUCCAAGACUUUGGCAAACGCCGGCCAGCGGAUGUCAAAGAACUCAAAAUUAUGGCUCGGUCAUGGGCACACAUAGAAGACAAAGAGCGUGAAAGGUUUGAUUCACACCACAAUCGCAGACGUGCCAACAAUAACCAAAGCAACAAUCAAGAACAAGAUAGAAACCGCAACGGCGAUCACCGAAGCAACUACUUGGGCAAUCAGAAUUGCAAGCGCAAACCAGACAAUACCAUUGCAGCAAUGUCAAAUCCAAGCAAGAAAGGACCGAAUAAACGAAAUAAUGGCCCCUCAUUCAAUGAACUACUCAAAAACAAUACCCAUGACACUCGCGCAGCAAGCAUGCAGCAAUAGACUGCUACAACCUUCACAGAGUUAUGCAAGAAUUACCAGAACCUCCCGCCAACAACAAUAGAAAUAAUAAUAAUAAGGACAAAGGCAAGGGCAAGAUGGAUGAAACUGAAGAUGGCGAAGACAAGUUCCAGACAGCAUCUAAGACCGUCAACGUCAUCUUCGGUGGAAUUCCAGGCACUACCUCCAAAUGAUCCAAUAAAUUAGUACUCAGAGAAAUUAUGGCUAUAGAACUAGCCACCCCUACACCUCUCAAAUGAUCUGAGGUACCCAUUACCUUCAGCAGAAAGCAUCAAUGGACCAACUUCUCAGAACCAGGACGUUUCCCUCUAGUACUAGACCCAGUUGUCGCAGGCUCAAGACUAACCAAAGUACUCAUCAACGGCGGCAGUGGACUCAGCGUCAUUUUCACCAAGACUCUAAGAAGGAUGGGCCUCGACAUCACCAACAUGCUUACCCCAAUAGAUUCUCCCUUCUAUGGAAUCAUCCUAGGCAACACAGCCAUUCCACUAGGACAAGUUGUCUUACCUGUCACUUUCAGUACCAAAGAGCAUUACCGCACAGAGUACAUCAAAUUCGAGGUGGCUGAGUUUGAGACUUCUUACCAUGCCAUCCUCGGAAGACCGAAAGGAGAACAUCUCUUCGAGGAGAUCUGUAAUGAUCAUAUGAAUGUGACACAAAACCUAUUGAGAUAGCCGCGACUCCUCAAGUUCCCAGCUCCAUGCAACAAGUGUUCACCGCAUCAAAGAAGCUUACCUUGGCAGAACUCGAAAUCCCAAAAAACAAGCCAGGAGCUACUAAAGUCAAGCCAAAAAAUGACAAAGAUUUCAAAUCCAUCAACCUCGAAAUUGGCAACUCAUCAAAAACUGCCCUGAUCGGAAUAGGGCUCGAUCCCAAAUAGGAAAGCACGCUCGUCGGUUUCCUUCAGGCAAAUCGAGACAUCUUCACGUGGAAACCAGCUGACAUGCCAAGUGUGCCCAAGGAACUGAUCGAGCAUUCACUCAACGUCGAUCCCAAAGCUACUCCAAAAAGACAAUGACUAUGAAUAUUCGCUCAAGAUAGAAGAGAUGCAAUUAAAAAAGAACUAGCCAAAUUACUCGCAGCAGGGUUUAUAAAGGAAGUUUUCCAUCCUGAUUGGUUAGCAAAUCCUAUUUUAGUUCGAAAGAAGAAGAACAACGAGUGGAGGAUGUGUGUCAACUACACAGACCUCAACAAACAUUGCCCCAAAGAUCCCUUUGGGCUUCCCAGAAUCAACGAAGCCGGAUGCGCACUACUCUGUUUUCUUGAUUGUUACUCAAGAUAUCAUAAGAUAGCUUUGAAGGAAGAAGAUCAAGCCAAGACCGCAUUCAUCACCCCUUUUGGAGCAUUCUACUACAAGACAAUUUCCUUUGGGUUGAAGAACGCUGGUGCAACUUAUCAACGUGCAAUUCAAAUGUGCUUCGAGAAACAACUACACUCCGCAAUGUGGAAGCCUACGUGGAUGAUGUAGUAGUCAAAACUAGAAAUCCAGAUGAUUUAAUCGCAGACUUAGAAGAAACUUUCACAAGCCUGCGAGCGUUCUGAUGGAAACUAAAUCCUACCAAGUGGGUUUUCGACGUACCUUUGGGAAAAUUACUCGGGUUCAUCAUCAGUCAUUGAGGCAUCGAAGCAAACCCUGAGAAAAUCUCCACCAUUGCUAACAUGUAAGCUCCAUCUGGCAUAAAAGACGUUUAGAAACUCACAGGCUGCAUGGCGGCUCUAAACAGAUUCAUAUCAAAACUUGAAGAACGGGGUUUACCUUUCUUCAAAUUACUCAAACGACAAGACAAAUUUCAAUGGACAGAGGAGGCAAACAAAGCUCUUACAACUGAAAGAUUUCCUGUCAAAGCCACCAAUCCUCACAGCUCCAACUCCAACUUAAGAUUUGCUCUUGUACAUCGCUGCAACUACUCAUGUUGUCAUCACAGCAAUAGUAGCUGAAAGAACUGAACCAAGCCACGUCUACAAAGUCAAGAGACUAGUAUACUUUGUCAGCGAAGUACUCUCGGAUUUCAAGACACGGUAUCCACCGAUCCAGAAGCUACUCAACACCAUACUACUCACUUCCAGGAACACAACUUCUAGGAACACAACAUAUUCGUCAUCACUAACUUCCUGCUCGGUGAAAUCCUCCACAAUCGGGAUGCCAUGGGCAGAAUCUCAAAGUAGGCAGUAGAACUCAGAGCAUUGACCUUGGAAUUCAAACCUAGACCAACAAUUAAAUCCCAAGCUCUAGUCAACUUCAUGGUUGAGUGGAGGGAAAAUCAAUUGCCUACACCAAUAGAACGCCCUGAACACUGGGUCAUGUACUUUGACGGAUCUCUUAAGCUUGAGGGAGCCAGCGCAGGAGUACUCCUAAUAUCUCCAAAAGGCGAACAACUCAAGUACAUUCUUCAAAUCUUUUGGGAAGCAUCAAGUAAUAAAGCCGAGUACAAAGCACUUCUACACGGUCUUCACCUAGCAAUUUCACGAGGCAUCAAAAGAUUACUAGUCUAUGGUGACUCAUUAGUAGUCAUCAAUCAAGUCAAUGACGAGUGGGAUCACAACAAGGAAAAUAUGGACGCAUACUGCUGGGAAGUCCGCAAACUAGAGAACAAGUUCUUAGGUCUCGAAUUUCACCACGUGGUCUGCGACAACAAUGUUGCUGCUAAUGUUUUAUCCGAAAUGGGUUCAACACGCGCAAAAGUCCUAGCAGGCAUCUUUGUUUAUGAACUUCACAAGCCGUCCAUAAUAGAACAAGAAACUCCAGCAACCACUAGCAAGGGUCCAUCAGACCGGGAGAUCAUGAUCAUCGAGGUAGACUGGAGGACUCCUUUUAUCAACUACAUUAAAGAGCAAGCUACCUUCCGACAAGACGCAAGCAGAACAAGUCUCACGGUGCGCCAAAAGCUACGCUCUAGUUGGAGAUAAACUCUACAGAAGAGGAGCAUCCUCGAGAGUACCCAUGAAAUGCGUUACUUGCGAAGACGGCAAAGAUAUCUUGGAGGAAAUACACAAAGGAAUUUACGACAACCACGCAUCCUGAAGAACAAUAGUAGGCAAAGCCUUCAGAGCGGGAUUUUAUUGGCCAACUGCGAUGGCAAAUGCAGUAGAACUAGUCCGCAGAUGUCAAGGAUGCUAGUUUUUUGCCAAACAACAUGUUCCUGCUUACAAACUCAUCACCACACCUCCAACAUGGCCUUUCGCAUGCUAGGGGCUCGACAUGAUUUGUCCACUCCAAACAGCCCUAGGAGGAUUCAAUCGAGCACUCGUCAUCAUUGAUAAGUUAACCAACUGGAUCGAAGUGAAACCGGUCACCUGCUCCAAGGCUGACAAGGUUCUAGACUUCCUGGACAAAAUAGUUCACUGCUAUGGUUUCCCAAACAGGAUCAUCACAGAUUUGGGUUCAAACUUCAACAAUCACGAGUUCUGGAAUAUUAUUAGAACAGCGGAAUUGACGUUCGUUAUGUCUCCGUCGCUCACCCAAGAGCCAACGGUCAGGUCGAGCGUGCUAAUGGAAUGAUACUUGAAGCUCUCAAGACAAGGCCGCACGACAUCGGCAACACCAAAGGAGGCAAGUGGCUCAACGAAUUACCCAACGUUCUCUGGGGACUACAUACUCAACCAUGCAAGCCCACUGGGCAGUCACCCUACUUCCUUGUCUACGGGUCAGAAACCAUACUUCCUACGGACGUCAUGUGGAAAUCCCCUACGGUCGAACAAUACGAUGAAGGAAUAGUAGAGGAAACAAGGCGCUUAGACCUUGACAGCUUGGAAGAAUCACGAUGUGCAGCACUCGUACAGUUAGCAAGAUACCUUGAAGGACUUCACCAUUAUCAUGAUCGUAACGUCAAAGAAUGUUCUUUCAACAUUGGCGACAUGGUCCUCAAGCGCAUUCAAGACACAACGGGGCUACACAAACUUAACUCAUCGUGGGAAUGGCCUUACAUCGUAUCCAAAGUCACAGGACCAGGAUCGUACAGGCUGCAGGAACUCUCCGGUGAAGAAAUCGCAAAUUCAUGGAACAUUGAGCACCUAUGCCGUUACUACCCAUAGUCAAUUGACUAAGCGGCACUGUACUCAGGCCACAGGCCUCAAUCUUUCAUUUUUCAACUAAUAAAUUUCUUACUCAUCUUUACCUACAAACCAGCGGUUCGCAAAGGUGAGUCAGCUGCAACUUGAGCUACUCAGCUCUACGAGCCUCUACGCUCUGGUUUUGACUUGUUUUCAACAAGUCUAGCAGCUCGCAAAGGUGGGUCAGCUGCAACUUGAGCUACUCAACUCUACGAGCCUUUGCGCUCUGAUUUUGACUUAUUUUCAACAAGUCUAGCGGCUCACAAAGGCGGGUCAGCUGCAACUUGAGCUACUCAGCUCUACGAGCCCCUACGCUCUGACCUCCAUCUUGAGCUGUACAGCUCCACAAGCUCUAGCACUUUGAUUUGUCAAACACAAGUCUAUACGAGCUCUCCACAACUUAUACAGUGGCCUUAAGCAUCAGUCUUUUGCAACAAGCAGAUAGAGAGUACACAAAAAAUACUCAUCUUAUUUCUCACAUGCAACUUUCGUAUUAACAAAAUUUUGCAGGAUUACAAUAGUUGACUCUACUUUAAGAAGUCAAGGUGUUCAGAGUAUGACACAAGUGCACAACAAUGACUGCAAGCAACUGCCUACUGGCAGUUACAACAGAAGUCCCAGGCUUUUAUUAUAUCACAAGGAUACACUUCAGCCUAGUGACUACUCGUGGUCCACAAAAAAGAACCGCCAAGAAGCAAGGAGUACACGUAAGGAAGCUGCACUCUAAGCAGUUGUGCCCUUCUCCUCCCCUCGGUGGUGGCAUAGACAGAGACUGGAGCUUCACACACUCCAGUUCCGCUACCCUUCAUCAACACCCUCUCCCUCUUAUAAGUACUCAGAAUUGGACUUCAAGCACACAUCGUGUACUUGAGUCUCAUCCCGAGACAUUGUAGAGAGAGUGAGCAGUCGGCACCACGCCUCCAUCCUCGACCAGACAACUAGAUAAAGACCGUGAAGCUCAUCAUCUUUCACCCACGAGCUCCAGCAUGGUUACUACCAGAGAGUAGGGGAAAACAUCGAGCACACGGCAUAUCCUCCUACGAGGAUUCUUCUAGCUUCACAGUCAUCUCUCCUAGCGAGGAGAUUUGUGGAGGGAAUGUGGAACCUCACUAUGAGGAAUCUUCUAGCACUAGGGCACUCAUUGGAAACUUGCUACUAUCAAAGAGAAGCAGCCUAAGGCCAACCAUCGAUAUACUCGGAUCCAUGUCUCAAGCAAUGGCAGCUGGGGGGCUAUUUAUAGCUGGAAGGCCAGGCAGAAUAAGUGCACCUCCAAUUGAUGACUGCCUCCUCCUAUAACAGUUUUGCAUCUACCAACUCUUGGAUGGUUUCCUUUCUCAUGGUGGACAUUUUCCAAGCACAAGCUUGAUUCGGCGGGGCAGUCUGAUCGGUAGGCCCACAUUUGGGCGGGGGAAGCUGCGGCUCCUUCCCUUUCUUGGAUUAUUUCGUCGAUCCCUCCGCAGCGUUUCCCUUGGACUUGUCAAUUUUCUUCCCCAUCUUCUUCACACGCAUCACCACGGGGUGCGCAAGGGGAGGAGAAGAAAGCUACUUGAGAUUGCUAGUUUUAGCUAAUGGUGGUGGCGGCGCAAGCGGUGGCGCUAGGGUUUUUUCAAAAUGGAGGAUGAACAGAUGAGAAUGGCAGGAAGCGUAAACCACGGGGGCUACUGCCCUUAUCUUUUAUAAUAGAGCGACGGAUCUAAAAUGUCCCCGAGGUUCUGGUAACGGAGCCGGCAAUUUCGCAACAAUCUGAUACUCUCAACAUUUAUCGCGAGAUUGAAAUCCAACGGUCACGUUGAUCACGAUUGACCCCUUCAUCACCUGAACGUAGUCGAUCAAAGUGCUCAGGGACUGCAUACACCUUGCCCGUCGGACAGAAUUUUCUUUUUAUUCAAGAUUGAGGAAAGAUGAAGCAAAUUCAGUUUUACCCUCAGCCUGAUUCUUUGAUUCAACCUAAGGCUCAAGGGCUACUCUAUAUGGAGUGCGAUUUUCAUCGCACUUCCAUAUAAAAGUCCUGAAGAUAGACUACUCAAAACCAAUGGGGCAGGAGUACCUUCCAGCCGCAUGACAGAAUUCGAGUACUCGAAAGACUAAACCACAACAGAGGUACUCAACAAGCACCGAAGACUAGUCGAGCAAUGUCUGCUGAGUACUCGGAACCCUUUCAUUUGACUACAAAGUACUCGGGGACUUGUCGACCAUACAUCCCCGGACCCACCAGAAGGUCUGUACGGACCCACUCAAGGGGACGUACUCAAGACAUAUCCGGACAUGAAGACUACGCUACCAGGGGACUUGUCGACCAUACAUCCCCGGACCCACCAGAAGGUCUGUACGGACCCACUCAAGGGGACGUACUCAAGACAUAUCCGGACAUGAAGACUACGCUACCAGGUAACGUAGACUACAUGGAACUCCUGAAGGGCUAGUCGGAAUACAAGGAAACUACUCUGCCAAGUUAGAGUAGGAUUCUAUAGUCUUGUCUGACUAGUACUCUUGUACUCAAAGCUACCCUGUAACCCUGCUCCCCAGAUAUAUAAGGGUGGGCAGGGACCCCCUCAAAACAAGUUCAAUCGAAUACAAGCGUACAAUACACAGGACGUAGGGUAUUACGCGAUCUAGCAGUCCGAACCUGUCUAAAUCGUGUCCCUGCAUCACCAUCGACUACUUGAUUUCAGCGACACCCACCAACCAAAACACUAUCUCGGGUACUCCCUUGAUAGGUUGCCGGGUUAAAACACUGACACCUAGGUUAUAUCAAAAUUUUAUGUGACAAAGAUAAAUUUUGCUAUUGCCUGCCUUAAAUCUUGAUGGAGAGAUUAUAGAGUUGAUUAUAACCAUGCGCUUAGUGCUCACAAAUGAACGCCAAAUGAAACAAACCAUUAUCGCAAUUUAAUUUUUAUGAUCAAAAUUUCCUAGGAAUAUGUGUUUACAAUUUAAAUAUCAGUUUUUGUAACACAUGUAGUCCAAAUGAACAUAUCGUAUGAAUCUUGCUAGAGAACAGAGAGUUGACUACAAACAUGUGCUCUUAAAUGAACACCAAAUGAAGCACAUCAUUACCUCAAUUCGAUUUUCUCAAUAAAACUUUUUAUGUGAUGUUAAUAGGAUGUAGUUUUGUCCCAGCCAAAUUUUAUCAUUUUCUAAGAAAUUUAAUAUAUUAUUAAAUUUAAUAAACUAUAAAGCUACAAAGAAAAGUAGAGUGUAAAUUAGACAAAGAUUCGAUUUUUUUUCUUCAAAAUUUCCACGUGGUAUAAAUUACAUUAUCCUAUAUAUUUUUGUAAUUUAAUAAUAAUUUUACAUCACAUGUAAUUCACACACUUAGUAAUUCAAUAAAUAGAGGGAAAUAUAUUUAAAUUCUUAAAAAGUAUAUUAUUGCAUAAAAAUUAUGUGUUAGCUACGGAUCACCUUAUACUUUACAAGAGAGGAGAGAGUUUACUAUAAUCUCACAUAUAUGUUUGUUGGUAACUUCGUUAUAUAUUGUUCCUAUGCACAUGAUAAUGUAAUUUCCUAUGUGUUAUGUCAAUUUCCCUGUGUGUUUUAGCUAACACACAAGGAAAUCUGUGUGUCAUAUCAAUUUCCUUGUGUAUUUCAUCUAACCCACAGAGAAAGGUGCGUCAUAUCAAUUUCCCUGUGUGUUUUACCUAACCCACAAGAAAAUGAGGAAUUUCCCUGUGGGUUUUGGUAUUUGCCUGUGUGUUCUUUUGGAAUCGACAAGGAAAUGUGAAGUCCCCUGUGUGUGCACGAAAAAAUCCUCAGGGAAAUUUGGCACACACAAGGAAAUUAAUUCGGGUUUCCAGUAGUGUAAUAACCCUGUAUUUUUACAUCAACACGACAUACAUAGAAUUGAAUAAUUAAGGCCCUGUUUGUUUGAACUUUAGCUUUCCAAGCUUUCUAGAAAGCUGGCUUUUGGUUUUUGCUCGCUGGAAGGGUGGCUUUCCGAAAGCUAGCUUUGGGAAAGCUAACACCAUUUGGCAACCUAGCUUUUAGAAUGGUAUGAUGGAGUGUCUGUUCUGUGGGAUCCACAUGUCAGGCUUUUCUUCAACCUUGCUCGACAGACGGAAGGCAAGACCGACAGGGAGAGGGAAGGGGUGGGGGCGGCCGGAGGUGAGACCGACGGGGGAGGGGGCGCCAGGGAGCUCCGCGCUCCUACGGCAGUGCAGCUCCGGGUGCCGGAGGGGCCGAGGAGCCAAACUCACUCUUUGACAACGCAGAAUUNNNNNNNNNNNNNNNNNNNNNNNNNNNNNNNNNNNNNNNNNNNNNNNNNNNNNNNNNNNNNNNNNNNNNNNNNNNNNNNNNNNNNNNNNNNNNNNNNNNNAGGAGCUCCCCUGCGGCCCCGCCCCUACCCCCGCGCUCCUCCGCGCCGGCUUGGAGGGAGACGGCUCCUCCUGGGGUCCUGCCGGAAGGGAGGACUCGACAAGGUGGGGUAGGUGUCCGAAAUAGAUCACCAAAUCCCGCACGGGCAGCUGAGAGAUCCGAGCCCACCACGAUCCAUGGUGGCCACCGCAACGGCCGGUGCGGCGACGCGCUUCAUACUUAUCCUCCUCGCUGGCUUCCUCGACACGACGCCACAUGGGGCGGACGCGCUCCGGUCGCUCAGCGUCGAGGGUGCGGGUGGGGCCGGCGGCGCCAACGACAACGCCACCGUGGACCUCGACACCGGCAACUUCACCGCCUUCCUCCACGCCUCGCUGGAGUCAUUCGCGGUCAUCGAGUUCUUGGCCCACUGGUCGGCCGCUCCGCGCCGGCUCGGGCGCCACAAGACCGGACGAGAGGGAGAUGGCACAUAUGGAGAUGGAAGGAAAGAAAAAUGGCCGGUUCGCACCAUAAAUGAUGGUAGGAGGGUAAUUUUCGCGACCUUGACAUAGAAAAGCUGCAGAAAACUCACAUUUCGCAGCUUCUGGGCUUUUGGCUUUCGGAAAGCUCAGCCCAGAAACUGACCAUUUGUUUGAGCUUUCGGCUUCUUAGGGUGGAAAGCUACUUGAAAGUCCAAACAAACAGUGCCUAAGUUUACAACGACGCUGCACUACUAGCAGCUAGGCACUGUGGAGAUGUAGCUAGAGUAGAGAACAUGCAAGGUGGUAUUAGCCGAUGAACGACGACUGAUACAUUACAUAGACAUGCAUUAUGCGCCCCCCUUACGCUGCGACGAUGGACCCCUGACGCUAUGUCAGUGAUGAAUGAUCACUGACAUGUAGCAACCACAUCACGUUGUGUUAAUAACGUCAGAGGAACCACUUCAUCCCUUACGCCGACGAGAG
rnacentral:lncRNA from 1 species